rnacentral:lncRNA from 1 species
AUGUGCCAUCCAAUGCUUAAUUAAUUCAGUUGACCAAAAAACAAAAUCUUUGGGGAAGAUUGCACAAUACAAUAAGCAUGGUCUUAUUUGUGAGGGCAAAUCAUAAUAACUUAGCAAGAGAGGUCUGAAAAUGUCUUGUUGUGCAACAUUUAAUUUCCAUAUCUCACUAUUGAGUAUAAUUUGCCACUCAUUCCUAGUAUUUUUCUCCUGCAACAAUCCUCCUAAAGUCUUAGCAGCAAGUGGUAAACCUUUACACUUCUUUGCUAUUUCCUGUCCAAUACCCUCUAAGUUUUCACGCAACUCAUUUUCCUUUCCCAUAAAGGCCAAUUGACUAAGUAUUAACCAGCACACUUCAUCAGAUAAUUCUUCCAAAUGAAACACUUGAGAGGAUCCCAUCCCCAUUGCAACUGAUUCUUUACGAGUAGUCACUAAAAUCUUACUUCCUGACAUGCCUUGUUGAAAAGCAGCCUUUAGUGGCUCCCAAUCUUCAUCACGGUCUGUCCACACAUCAUCUAAAACAAGCAAGAAUUUUGCACUUCUGAUUUUUUCACAAAUUUUGAUCAGAAUAUCUUGUAAGGGAAUUGGCUUUUGGAGGUUGGUAACUGAACCUCGGUCGAGGUGUCUUAAAAUUGCUACCGCAAUUUUGUUUCGAUCAAAAUGGUCCGAGACACACACCCAAAUUGCAUUGUUGAAGUGUGCUCGAACUUGAUGAUCAUUAAAGAUAUAUUUAGCAAGAGUUGUUUUUCCGAUCCCUCCCAUCCCUACUAGAGAGAUGGUCUGAAUGCAGCCGUCAUCACUAGUCCCAUUCAACAAUUUCUCCACUAUCUCUUUUUUAAUCUCAUCUCGACCAUGUAACUUGGACACAUCAAUAAAAGAUGUACUCUCUACUCGUCUAAAUUGUUUGGUUUCUCUUUUUGUCAAAUGAUAUCUAUCUUUCGCCUUUGCAAUCUCAUCUAGCCUUUCAUUGAUUGCUUUUAUUUUGCUACCUAUGUCACGACGCCUAAAAACUUGAAGAAAAGAAGAAACCCAUGAAACGAAGGAAGUUUUCAUCCUCUUGGGAAUAGAAGCACUUACAUCUAAUUCAGGAUCUGUUUGUAACUUGGAGAGUGCAGUGCUCCACUCAUCCAACACGUCCUCCACGUCAUAAGACGCUUCUUUGAGCUUUUCUAACCAACCUUUCACAUUUUUCUCCACAAUUUGCCUUUGCUCUGCAUCUUCAAGUAUACCGCGGAUGGCCUUCAAAGUGCUGUCAAGCUUUUCGACUUCUUUCUCAACAUCUGUUACCAACUUCAGCUCUUGGCGGGCAUGCUCAAUAGUGAUAGCUGUGAGUUGCUCCAAGAUGGAAGAAACAAGUGCUUCGGCCAUUUUGAGAGAGAGAAAGAGAGAGAGAGAUUAAUUGAUUGAUUAGUGAAAGAAAAUUGAUGGGCGAUUAAAACAUCCAAUUCAACUUUAUUCAGCAAUAACUUUUACUAGAUGCUCUAUAAUUGAAGAAACAACUGCUACUGCCAAUAUCCUAAAAGAAAAAUAGGUGUUGGUAAUGGUUAAAGGGAAAUUAAAGGGAGAUGAGAUCUGGAAUUUCAGGGAAACUACAGUGGUGACCUUGGGAUUAAGUAGCAAGUAAAACGCGGGACCCACUUCUAUAAUUGUUGACUGUUGACUGGUAACCUGCUGUAAAACAAAUGAUGAAGCUUUUCGUAUCAACUACGAGGCAACUGCAAAGAUUUUUUUUUUUUUGACAAAAUUAUCAAAUAAGUAACAUAAAUAAUUUUCAUGUAGCGAUUAAAAUUUUUUUAUGAAAAUAAAAUAUCCCAAGAGCUUUUUAUAAUAAUAAAAUAAUAAAAAAAAUAAUAAUUCUUUGUUACUUAAAACUUUUUAUUUGCCGGUUACCAUCGCUUUUGACUGAAUGGCGAAUAUAAUGAGAACCUUAGAAUAUGCUUUUUGCAAGUUGCAACAUCACCUGUACAGCUCAUGGCCCAACCACCGAAAAGGUUGUUUGCAUGAGAGGUAUUGGUGAGGGGCAUGGUUGAACAUUUGAAGUUUUACCACUUAAUCUUUCCAUGCGUGGAAUAAUUUAUUUUUGUUACAUAAUUAUAGUUGAAGAUCACAUACUUGCAUUAUGAAAUCCAUGCUCAUAAAAUAGAGACGUAAAUGAAAAGAAAGAAAGAUAAAAGAAAAAAAGAAAUCCUCUAGGUCAAAAUAUAUUUUUUAGAGUCUUUGGCAUCAUGCUAGAGUUCUUCCGACCGCAUUGUGAAUUCUAGUUAUAAAACACCUUCAUGGAACGGUAAGACGAACUCCCAUCGCCCUGACAAAGGGAUAAGCUUCCAAAAUGGUCAGGCGAAUAAGGUUCACAAAACAUAAAUCUAUUAAAACACUACUAAUUUGGGGAAAUAUAGAAUUAGCAUCGCAUGUACUAGAUUGGAGAUCAUCCAAAGUAUGGAUGCCUAUCCAUUUCUCUCUCUUAACCAUGCCAAGCCACUGCAAGUAAGAAAAUCAUGGAGAUCAUCUUCCGCGUACAAUGUUUUAUCUGCAGUGUCAAGUGCCAAAAGCUAUGCACUUAGCCUCAUUGUAAAGGCACAAACUCAUUCGUGAUUCCUGCCAACAAACACUAGGCUUGUCUAAUAGUAUCUGAUAAACAAUUUUGCAAUUUCAUUAUAUGAAAUGCUUAAGUUAUUUACUUUCAAUACCCUCAUCAAGGCGGAUGGUAUAGUUUCCUAAACUCAUCAUGACUCUAGACAACCUGGUCUUCAUCCUCUAUCCAAAAUGCUUGCUUAUUUUGUCACCCGAACCUAACUCAAUUGCUUCCUCAGUUGCAUCUGCAGCUCCUUUGCUAUAGAUCCUUCUGCUGUAGUCCCCCAUGCGUGACUCAUAUAACAUCCCAUUGUAACAAGGGUAGCCUUCACCUCCUGCCAUAAAAGAAUCAUGACAAGCCUCAAAUGUUUUAUAACCUUGAUAAGACAAAUAGCUUUAAUAAAUACAAAUAAAAAGAAUCAUGACAGUCAAAUUAUGAUCAGAAAGUGAAACAAAGCAAAAAAUUUUGACCAGAUAUCAAUUACUCCAAACAGAUUUGUAGCACAAUUUGAAAUUUUGAUCAAGUUCAAAUAAUAAAAGUGAAAACAAGGAGAGGAAGAAGAAACCUGAGAAGCUUUUCACUUGAAUUAAAAACAAAAAAAAUACCAUCUCCAGAGGUCUAAUUCAUAUCCCAAGGAGGGACUUCACAAGAAGUCGCUGCAUCAGUGGUGGUAAUGGUCAGAGGGUCACCACCAUGAUCUUAUGCCUGCUCUAGCUUUAACUGUUGACCUGUAACCUGCUGUAAACCAAAUGAUGAAGCUCUUCAUAUCAACUAAAGGCAUAAAACCAGUUAAACAAGAUUUUGAAAGCAACGGCAAAGAUAAUUGACAUUGAUCCAACCCUCCAUAAACUUGAGGAUAGCAGGGGAAUAAAUGUAUGUCCUGAUGAGCACCAAUAGAUCUGUUGUAGUGGGUGAGUGAUCCUAUCGAAUUUAAGCAUAAGUUAUGAAAAGUAAAUUCAGAAUUACAUAAAAAAAUCAAAGUUGUAAAUUGUAAAGUUACAGUGAUCAGACUAUAUAUUAUUGAACUUUUAUAACUUGAGUGUUGUACCCCACAGAAAACUUCCAGAAAAUUAUGAAUGAGGAAAAAAUAUUACAUGACAUGCAAACAAAUUUCUGUUCCACAAAGAUCUCCAAACAUUAGCUCACCCUAGGCUACUGUUCCACAGACAUUUCUUCACCCCAAUAAUUUGCCAUUAGCUUCUCAAUAAUAUACUUCAAUUGAGGAGCGCUUACCCUGCACUUAUGUUCAGCAAAGCAAGAUUUACCUUCUUCAGCCGCCUUGCAAAGCUGUGGAUCCAAUGGCACCUUUCCGAGGAAUGGUACUCCCAUUGCUGUACACAUUUUUGCUGCACCACCACCACUGCUAUCAAAGACUUCACUGGCAGCACUGAGAUCUAGCGUUUCUGGUGCUUUCUCUGUCAUAUACUCGAUAACCUUCUCAGUCAGAUCAGUAUGUUCACCCAUCUCUGUCAUCCUCAAAAACCUGAAAUCUGUCAAUGGUUGACAAAAGCCACUCAUGUUCUCAACAACUCCAAGAACUGAUACUCCAACUUUUUUGCAGAAAUUAACUUCUUUACGCAUAUCAAUCAAAGAGACUUGCUGUGGCGUAGUGACAAUGAUAGCUCCAUCUAUUCCAGUAGCCUGAAGGAACUGGACAAUUGAGAUAUGCUCAUCAGAGGUCCCCGGUGGGGCAUCAACAACCAGGAAAUCGAGCUCUCCCCAGUAUACAUCUUUAAGGAAUUGCUUGAUAAGCCCGGUUUUACGUGGUCCUCUCCAAAUGACAGCUUCAUCAGGGUUACGGAGCAUGAAUCCAAUUGACAUGACCCCAAGGUUGGACUCCACAUAAACAGGAACCAGCCAAGGUUGCUCUGGUGAAUGUCUUGACCUUCUAGGCCAAGCAUUUUUGGAAUGCUUGGACCACAAAUAUCAAUAUCCAGUAGACCCGCCUGGAAAUUCUUUGCUGCUAGUGCAAAUGAGAGUUGGGCAGAGAAAGUGCUCUUGCCAACUCCUCCCUUCCCUGAUAAAACCAGUAUCUUAUGCUUGACAGUAGCCAUUCUUUCUGCAAUUGCAACCAAGUCUGCAGAAUGUAAUGGAUUAAAUAUUAGUAUGUUAGUAAUUGAUUCAUAUGACAGAUAACAUGGUCAAGCUAGGACAGAAGCAAAAGAGCUUGAAGUUUUAUAAACCAUCAUGAAUAUGUGAUUAGCCAUAAGAUAGUCAAUAACCCUUUCAUACAACACCCACAUAUGCCACAUAUAAAAUAGAAGAGAGGACAAAGCAAAAGUCAAUAUAAAAACCAAAAUGGAGAGAGGCAAAUUUCAUAGGCCAAAAGCACUCAUCAGUUCUCAUUUAUGGCAUAUAUGUUCACUUUAAACAGUUGCUCUUUAAUAUAUGAGGUAAAACCUAAGACAAUUAACUAAUCGUCAAAUGCAUCAUUACAACUGCCAAACUUUAGACAGUUAAGGCAAUUAUAUGUGAACUCAUUAUAAAAAUUUAAAAGAAGAAGAUGCGACAAAUAGUUAAAAGAAAUUAAAAGGACAGCCUUCAUAGUUCAAAAAGAGCCGGUUUAAAAGGUGAUAAUCAGAGACAAAAGUCAAAACCCUCAGAUAGAUAAGACCCAAUGCACUGGCAUAUGCAACUUACAGCAAAUUUCAAAGAGACAACAUAUGAAAUCAUCUGAUACUAGUUUCAGUUUCCUCUAAGAAUUGAAAGUCCAGUUAAAGCACUAUGCUAUUCGACCCCAAAUCAUGAGUAAGCUUCCUUUAACACACAAUACUAGAACUUUAGAAGCAUUCUCUUGUUUUUCAAAACAUGAGAGCUCCAUCUCCAUUAAUAUUUAUUACCAAAUUACAGCUCCAAAUCGAUUAUGUAAUAACCAUACUGGUGACAUCUUCAGCAGCUAUUUUCUCCAGUAAUCUUCAUAUGCUAUUACUAAGUUGCUAAAAUUUCAAAACAAUCCUGAAACUCUAUUCUAGCAAUAAAAAACAGUUCACGAACAAACCUCAGACCAUCACCAUGAAAAUAAUAAAUGAAAAAGAAAAUAUAAUGAGAGGAUGGGAAAAAGGGAAAGAGCAAACCUGUGUCAGGGCCCUUAGGCGCGGUGGCACAAUCUUCUUGAUUAGGGCAACCUUGGCAUGCAUCGGAUUUACCCGCUGACUCCGAUUGAGGACCAGGACAAUCUGAAGAGAAAUGAAGAAAAUUAAUAAAAAACCAAAACUAGAAAUAACACUCGAGAGGAUCCCAUCCCCGUCGCAACCGAUUCUUUACGAGUAGUCAAUAAAAUCCUACUUCCAGACAUCCAUUUUUGAAAAGUAGCUUUUAGUGGUUCCCAAUCUUCAUCACGGUCCGUUCACAAAUCAUCUAAAACAAGCAAGAAUUUUGCACUUUCGAUUUUUUCACAAAUUUUGGCCAUAACAAUUUGCAAGGAAAUUGGAUUUUGGAGGUUGAUAACUAAAUUUUGGUGGAGGCCUUCUAAAAUUCUUCCGCGAUUUUGUUUGGAUAAGAAAAAGUUCCGAAACACACACCCAAAUUACGUUAUUGAAGUGUGAUCGAACUUUAUCAUAAUUAGAGAUCAAUUGAGCAAGAGUUGUUUUUCCCAACCCUCCCAUCCUCACGAUAAACAUGGUUUGAACGCCAUUCCCACCAAACAAUGUGCUUACUAGAGUAUUUUUGACCUCAUCUCGACCAUUUAAUUUGGAAACAUCAACAAAAGAUGUGCUUUCUAUUCGUCUAGCUGGCUAAAUUGCAGUCAUCUGAGAAAUAAAGUAUACAGUUUUUAUGAAAUUAGUUGUUGAUAUCAUCACUCUACGUUCAUACUAUCAUUGAUUUAGAUGUUAAAUAUUGUUAAUUCAGCUUAGUUUAGGAUUGAUUUACAUAUAGACACAUUUUCAUGUACAGAAAAUAAUAUAGCAAUAUAAAACACUUGUACCGCAAUUAAUAACAAAUGAAUGUUUUUGUUUAUCAGCAAAGUAUAUCUUUUUAGGUGUAUUUAGUGUACAAUAUUAUAAAUAAAUUUUAAUUAAAUAAUAUGAUUUUAUUUUGUAUAUAAUGAUUAAGAUAGAAUAAUUUUAUUUAUUAGAUAAUAUUGUUAUUUCUCAAAUUUUAUAAAAUUUAAAUUAUUUAUGUAAUUUUUAAAUGUAUAAUAGAACAUAUAAAUUUAAUUUUAUGAAUUAAAAAUAAUUUUUUUUAUUUUGAGAUUAUCGAAUCAUCUUAUACUUAAAAAAUGAUUAAUUUUUUUUACAAUUUUAUUUUUAGAUACAAAUCAAACCUAUUAUUAUUAUAUCCUAUCUAUCUUUUUAUACAUCAAAUUUUAGCCUUAAAUCUUUCACUCUAAUUUAACUUUCAUUCUUAAUUUCAAAAUUGUUUCAUUUAAAUCCUUAAUCUUAUAAAGUUAUUUCGUUGUCGUAUUUUUUUAUAAUAAUAAUAAUAAUAAUAAUAAUAAUAAUAAUAAUAAAUCCCAAUAGAAUAAUUGAAAGAUAAAAUAAAACCAAAAAAAAAAAAAGAUCUUAAAUUAAAUUUACCCAUUUCUUUUAAAUAAAUGAAUUGCAAUAAUCUCAGGUAUUAAUAUAGCUUGAUUAUUGCUAUUAAUUUAGGAUUGAUCUAGAGACAUUCUCAUGCAUAAUUACUUUCGUUGCGUCAUAAACAUAUAAAACACAUUUAAGGCAUAAUGUGUAAUAUAUACCUUAUAAGGGCUGUGAUUUCCGUUGGUAUUGAUUUACUUAUUCCUUUGGCUGCCACAGUAGUUUUCACAGAUUAUGAAUUUGCUUCAAUCACUUGCAUUAAUAUUUAUAAUCUUGUGCUGAUGCUUUAACUAAGCAAGCAUCUCAUAGUAUUGUAGGUUUUAAUGUUAAUAACCAGACUUUAAAACAUCAAAAACAAAAAAAAGGUAAGUGCUGAUUAUUAGCGUAAUUUUUAUCAAAAAUAUGAAAUUGGCCAUAAACUUUACAAAAAAAAAAUGUAUAUUUCAAACUCAAUACGAACGCAAGCUAAAAGAGGCUGCAGUAGGACAGCGAACUAACCUCUCAUUGCCCGAGACGUACGGAUCAUUUUUUCAUUUGAAAUUGUAAGGUCGGGUCGUGUAAAAUUAGAAACAAGGUCGGUUGGUCGGUGUAAAACCCGAUCGACCCGAUUUAUAUAAAAAAUUAUUUUUAAUUUUUUUUUAAUUUAAUAUAAAUUAUAAAAAUAUGUUUAAAUAUUUAUUUAAAAAUAAUAUUUUAAUUAAAAAUAAUUAUUUAUUAUUUUGAUCAUCGAUCGAAUACAUUCUACAUGAUAUUUCGAAUCGAUAAUUAAAAAAUUAUAUUAUCAUGAAUUUAAUAAAUAAAGAGUAGAUUGGUAAAACUAGAGCAUCUAGGCCAUGACUCUUUAAAGGUAUUAACUCUUAGAUAUGAGAUGGCCCUUAAACGAUGUAUACAACGUGUAGAUUCAACUUUUUAUAUAUUAUUUUAUUAGUUAUUAUUUAUUUAUUUAUUAAAUCUAAUCUAAAAAUUCAAGUUAAAUUGAAGUAACUUUAUUGUUUAAAACUAAUUGAAAUCCAAGUCAAUUUUUUUAUUGUUAUGUUUAUGUUACUGUUAACAUAUCUAACCAUCAUCUUUUUAUAGCUUUUAUCAAAAUAAAAUUCUUCUAAAUUCUUCAUCCAAUUCUUAAUCUUGCCAUCUUUUUGCUUAAAUAAAAAUAAAUUUGUCAUCUUGAUUGGUGUUGGACAGUUGAAGCACCCUCUAGACUCAUCUUUUCUAUAGCUUUUACCAACAUAAGUUUAUUCUAAAUUCUUCAUCUAAUUCCUAAUGUGGCCAUAUUUUUGCUUUAGUAAAAAUAAGUUUUUUUUUUUUAUCUUGAUUGGUGUCGGGCGAUUGAAGUACUUUUUUCACUCAUUUUUUUAUACCUUUUAUCAAAAUAAUUUUAUUUUAAAUUCUUCAUCCAAUUCUCAAUUUAGUCAUCUUUUUGCUUUACUAAAAAUACAUUUUUUAUCUCGAUUGGUGUUGGAGUAGUUGAAGCACUCUUUUGACUUUUAAGAAGACAAAUAGAUAAUCAAAUCAGGUUUCUUUUAUUCUUUUUUAUUAGUUUACAAUAAUAAUAAAAUAUACUAUUUUAUUUUUUAUUAGUUUACAUUGAUUUGUUACAUUGUUUUAAUUUAAUAUUCACCUUAUUAUUUAUAUGUUUGCAUUAAUCUAUUAUAUUAUUUUAAUUUAAUAUGUUGUUUUUUUUAUUUGUUUAUAUUGGUUUAUUAGAUUAUUUUAAUUUAAUAUGAUGCUUAUGUUUUUAUUUGUUUGCAUUGAUUUAUUACAUUACUUUUUUCAUAAUAGAUAUAGAAAUUUUAUUUUAUUAUACUUAUAUAGUAAUUAAUAAUUUUAUUCAAAAUUUCAAAAAUAUUAUUGUAGUUAUGAAGUUAAGAAUAAUAUAUUCUUUUUUUUUUUGAGAAAAAUAAUCAAAAUAUAGAAUUAGGGAUAACAUCUUCUAUUUUAAAAGCGAAUGCUACACUUUCUAAUUCUAUCUCACAAAAUGAAGCACCACCACCACAUCAUUUGCUCCAAACUAUGAAACUCAUGUUUUUAAAAUUCCAAGAGUUGAAGCUAGAUAAUUGAUUUUUCUAAUUUAGAACAUGAUCUAAGAUAGCGUAAACAAAUAUAAGUAUUUGAUUAAUCUACAUGCUGAAAUUUGAAGAAUUUACAUCAAGGUUGGACCUUAUCAACCUAAUUUUUUAGAAUAUCCUACUUCCCAUUCAGAAAAGCAUCCCUAUCACUUUUAAGCAUCAUGGUUCAAACACAAUGAGCUUGUGUAGAUUUAAUGAAUCAAGCUCAACAUAUUAAAGUAUUACUUAAUAGGCAAACAACACAAUAAAUUGGAAUUAAUCGUUUAUAUUUGAAAACUAGUAUAAAUGUUGCUCAAUGAUUGACAUUUCAAGGAUGUGCCUUCAGAGGUUAUGAUGAAAGUUUAAAAUAAAAAAAUUGUGAAAGCAUUCUUGAAUUGGUAAAAUUGUUGACAUUUUAUGAUAAAAAGGUUGAAGAUGUUGGGAAAAUGCUCUGCAAAAUGUCGCAUACACUUAUUCAAAAACAUAAAAAAAAAUUAUGCAUAUUUAUGCUAAAAGAGUUCACGAUGCAAUUCGUGAAGAAAUUGGUGUUGAAAAUUUUUGCAUUAUUGUGGAUGAAGUUAAAGAUGAGUAAAAAAUGGAGCAAAUGGCAAUUGUUUUAAGAUUUGUUGAUAAAGAAGGGUUUGUAAAAGAACUUUUUUUGAUUUAGUUCAUUUUAAAAGAUACUUCAGUGUUGACUUUGAAAAAUAAAAUUUUUAAUGUUUUUUCCAUUAUGAUUUUGACAUACAAAAUCUUUAAAGACAAUGAUAUGAUGAAACAAGUAAUGUGCAUAGAGAGUUAAAUGGCUUGCAAGCUUUAAUUUUGAAAAAGUUUCCAUAUGCUUAUUAUGUUUAUUGUUUUACUCAUCGACUUCAAUUAACAUUGGUUGUAGCAUCUACAGAAGUGCAUCAAUUUUUUAAAAAUUUGGUUGAUAUUGUUAAUGUGGUUUGUGCUUAUUCCAAAUGUCAUGAUGAAUUACAAAAAGCUCAAGCAAUUGAAAUUACUUAUGUAAUUUCUAUUGCUGUGGUGGAAACUGGAACUAGUAUGAAUCAAUUGAGCAUUUUUUAGAGUCCAGGUGACAAUCGAUGGAGUUCUCAUUUGAAUUCAAUUAUUAGUUUAAUGAAGAUGUUUUCAUGCAACAUGCACUAUUAUUGAAAAUAAAAAAUACUUGUACCUAAUUAUUCUUAACAUAGAUAUGCUCUUAUUGCAUAUAGUAGGUUGAUAUCUUUUAAAUAUGUUUUUACUUUACACUUGAUGAAGGAAAUUAUGGGCAUUAUUGAUAAUUUUUGUCAAGCUUUACAGCAUCAUUCUCAGGACAUAUUGAAUGCCUAAAUCUUGUGUUGACAACCAAAAAGUUAUUUCAAAAGUUCAAAGAAAAUGGAUGGGAUGAAUUAUUGAAUAAUGUGAUGUCAUAUUGUAAGAGUUGUGAGCUAGCUACUAUAGAUAUGAAUAUUCCAUAAAUGGUAGGUCGUGGUCAUAAUAAGAAAAAAGAUGUUACAAUUUAUCAUCAUUAUCGAGUAGAUAUAUUUUUUGUUGCAAUAGAUACUUAAUUACAAGAAAUAAACCAUAGAUUAAAUGACUAUGUUAUUGAGUUGCUUACUCUUACUGCAUCUUUAAAUCUCAGAGAGUCUUUUAAAUUAUUUGAUGUUGAAAAAUUUACAAUUUUGUUAACAAAUUUUAUCUAGAAGAUUUUAUUUACAGAGAGAAAAAAUUCCUUCCAUAUGAGUUGAGACAUUAUAAAGUUGACGUGUGUCAACAUUUGGAUAUGAAAAAAUAUCAACAUUUUUUAAACUUUGUAGCAGGUUAGUUGAAAUUGGAAAGUUAGAGGUAUAUCUACUCAUUAAUAGAUUGAUUUGUCUCAUAUUGACUCUUCUAAUUUCAACUGCAUCUAUAAAACAAACUCAACUUCAAAGUAAGAUAAAAGAUGAUUUUUUGAGAAAUUCUUUGGUUAACUCAUUGAGAAAGAAAUGACAUAAAAAUUUAAUACUUAUGUAAUAAUUGAUGAUAUUAGUAUCAUAAAAGAACGAAGAGUGCAAUUUAAAUAAUAUUUUUAUUUUGGGAUAAUGUUUUAUAUGAGUCUUGGAUUAUUGUAUUUUUUUUAAUGUGGUACUUAAAAUUUUUUUUAAUUAGAUACUUAAAUUAUAUUUUCGUGUAUUAAUUUGCUCCAACUAUUAACGUUGUUAACCCUAAAUGUUGGCAUGAUAUUAACAUCUAAUAAGAUGCUAACACGUGAAAAAAAAUUCAGUUUGCGCUACAUUAUUAAUGCUAUGUUAAUAUUAAAAGAAAUUUUUUAAAAAUUUUAAAUUUUAAAAAAUUUUAAAAAAUUCUAAAAAGUUUUUAAAAACUUCUAAAAUCUUUUUAAAAAAUUAAAUAUUCAAAAACUAUUCAAAAAAAUAAAAAUUCAAAAAAUUUUUAAAAAAUUUUUAGAAACUUUUAAAAUUUUCAAAAGUUUCAAAGAAUUCUUAAAAAAAUCUAAAAAUUUCUAAAAAAUUUAUAAAAAUUCUAAAAGAAUGUAAAACUUACAGAAGCUAAACUUUUUUUAUUUCAUUUCUUCCUCCCACUAAAAAUUUUUUUUCUUUCUCAAACAGCAAACAAUCAGUCGUUUUUUUUUUUGAAAAUCUCUAAAAAGAUUUUAAAAUUAUUUUAAAAAUUAUAAAAAAUUCAAAAAAUUCAAAAAAAAAUUCAAAAAUAGAAAAGGGACAUUAUUCCAAAAUCUAAAUUUUUUUGAAAAUUCCUAAAAAUAUAAAAAUAUAAAAAAUAAAAAAAACAUUACAAAAAUUCUUUUAAAUUUUUUAAAAUUAAAAAAUUUUUAAAAAAUUAAAAAAAUUCAACUGGUUAAGGAGGAAAACAUAAAAAAUUGAAACAGCUCUCAAUAUUAAAAAAUCUCAGUCUUUUCCAGCAUUAUCAUCGAAGCCCUUUAACCACCCUUGACACCCAAGGCUAAGACCCCACUUGUCACCAUCCUUGAUCAACACCAUUGCAAGCCACCACCAUUCAGCAAUCCACCUACUACCCUUAAAUCCAGGCCACUGCCCUCCAUAGACAAGCCACCACUAUUCGGCCUUCUACACCACCAACACCCACCAAUUGGACCCCAAAUAACGCCCUCCCUUCACCACCACAAAACAUAGCCCUAUUUUGCCAAACAAAAAAAAAAAUCAACUUGAAAAAAAGGAUGAGGAGGAAGAUAUAAGCUUUUUGGUGAAAUUUAUGGCAAAUUGAUGCCGACGAGCAAUGGUAAUCGAUUUCAGAAACUGGAUUGAAGAAGGGCUAGUUGUUUGUUGUUUGAAAGAGAAAGGAUUUUUUUUUUUUUGUAGAGUGGGAGAAAAAAUGAAAUAAAAAAAGUUUAGCUUUUAUAAAUUAUAAAUUUUAUUUUAGAAUUUUUUUAAAAAAAUUAGAAUUUUAUAGAAUUUUUUUAAAAAUUUUUUUAAAACUUUUAGAAUUUUUAAAAUUUUUAGAAAAUUUUAAAUUUUUUUGAAUUUUUAAAAAUUUUUACUUUUUAGAAUUUUUUACUUUUUUUUUAAAUUUUAUAAUUCUUAAAGAUUUUUUAAAUUUUUUAAAAAUUUUUCAAAAAGAAGAUCCAGUUUUUUGUUAUUUGACAGAAAAAGAUAUAUAUAUAUAUAUAUAUAUAUAUUGUGGUGUGGGAGGAAGAAAUGAAAUUAAAAAAAAAAGUUUAGCUUUUAUAAAUUUUGAAAUUUUUUUAGAAUUAAAAAAAAUUAGAAUUUUUAGAAUUCUUUUAAAAUUUUUUAAAAUUUUUACAAAUUAUUUUUGAAUUUUUUAUUUUUCUAAAUUUUUAUAAUUUAUAAAAUUUUUUAAAAAUAUUUCAAAACAUUUUAAAAAUAUUUUUAUAUUUUUUUAAAAUAUUCUUUUAAUAUUGACAUGACAUUGAUAAACACGUUAACUAGAUUUUUUUAACAUAUGACAAUAUUUUAUUUGAUGUUAAUACCAUGUCAGCGUAAAGGAUUAAUGUAAUUCAUAAUUAGGGCAAAUUAAUACAUAAACAUGUAAUUUAAAUAUUUAAUUAAAUUUUUUUUGGUUUCAGUACCCUAAGAUAUAUAUAAAUAAAUAUAUGUAUAUUUAUAUAUAUAUAAAGGAAGAAGAAGUAACUGUAGCAUCUCACUAAUAUUAAACAUAAAUUAGUCCAUACAUUAAAAUAAUGCAUUGCAAGUUAAAGGUCUCACAAUAAAUCCAUACGAACAACAAGAACACAAGAUAAAAUUACAAUUACACUAUCAAGUGAUUUGUUUAGAGAAAGUUUGAACAAAAGUAAUUCGGAGAGAGUAAUAAACAGAAAGAGUACAGGCAGCUAUGUGAACCGUAUGUGUAAGCUAGGAGGUGGGUUUAAAGCUUGAAUAAAGUCUUCCCCCGAAAGACUCAGUCCACGCCCUUCGUAGUCCAUACGCAGAUGGUUGAGAUGUAUCUUCUUGUGCAGUUUGGCUCCCUUAGCCUCUUCCACAUCUGCCACAUUUCCCACCGGUUCUAUCCAAAGAGAUCCACAAAGGAGGUCCAAGUUUUCCGGAUCAACACUGAAUUCUCUGGCGUCAUUGCCAUCUACUCUCGCUAUGACUCUGGUUAAUUCCCUCAGAGAAGUUAAUCUCCCAAUUCCUUUUGGGUAGUAUUCUAGGCUCCAACUAUAAUCAGUACGAGGAGACCUCAGGUUCAUCAGUUUCCCUCUACCUUCUGGUAGUUUCUCAAGACCAAAACAUCCAAUGAGAUUCAAGUAUUGCAAAUUAUGCAAUUCACACACUACUACAGGCUAAAAGGCUCCUUAGUUUCUCUACGCCUUUUAUAGACACAGGAAAUUAAUCCUCUUUUGCAAUCUUUACCCUCAAAUGAUGAGUCUUUUUGGAAGAUAAAUCCAGUCUCACAUUUUCACUGCUGUCGACAUUUAAUUUCCUAUAUCUGACUAUUCAGUAUAUUUUGCCACUCACUCCUAGUAUUUUCCUUCCGCAGCAAUCUUCCCAAAGUCUUAGCAACAUGUGGUGAACCUUUACACUUCUUUGCUAUUUCCCUUCCAAUAUCCUCCAAGUUUUUACGCAACUCAUUUCCCUUUCCCUUAAAGGCCGAUUGACUAAGUAUCAACCAGCACACUUCAUCAGAUAAUUCUUUCAAACGAAACACUCGAGAGGAUUCCAUCCGCGUUGCAACUGAUUCUUUACGAGUAGUCACUAAAAUCUUACUUCCAGACUUGUUUUGUUGUAAAACAGCUUCUAGUGGCUCCCAAUCUUCAUCACGGUCUGUCCACACAUCAUCUAAAACAAGCAAGAAUUUUGCACUUCCGAUUUUUUCAGAAAUUUUGGUCAGAACAUCUUGUAAGGGAAUUGGAUUUUGGAGGUUGUCAGCUGAAUCUUUGUCCAGAAUUCCUAAAAUUGCUCUCGCAAUUUUGUUUGGAUCAAAACGCUCCGAGACCCACACCCACUUUACGUUUUUGUUGAAGUGUGCUUGAACUUUUUGAUCAUUAAAGAUUAAUUGAGCAAGAGCUGUUUUUCCGAUCCCUCGCUUCCCUACUAGAGAGAUGGUCUGAAUGCAGCCUUCUUCACUAGUCCCAUUCAACAAUAUCUCCACUAUCUCUUUUUUAAUCUCAUCUCGACCAUGUAACUUGGACACAUCAAUAAAAGAUGUACUCUCUACUCGACUAUAUUGUUUGGUUUUUGUCAAAUGAUAUCUAUCUUUCUGCUUAGCAAUCUCAUCUAGCCUUUCAUUGAUUCGUUUUAUUUUGUUAGCAAUGUCACGAUGCCAAACAACUUGACGACAAGAAGAAACCCAUGAAGUUAAGGAAGUUUUCUUCCUCUUGGGAAUAGAAGCACUUACAUCUAAUUCAGGAUCUGUUUGUAACUUGGAGAGUGCAGUUCUCCACUCAUCCAACAGACGCUCCAUGUCACAAGACACUUCUUUGAGCUUUUCUAACCAAACUUUCACAUUUUUCUCCACUAUUUGCCUUUGCUCUGCUUCUUCAAGCGUAUUGCGGAUGGCCUUAAAAUUGCUAUCAAGCUUUUCGACUUCUUUCUCAACAUCCGUUACUAACUUCAGCUCUUGCCGUGCAAUCUUAGUACUGAUAGCAAUGAGUUGCUCCGACAUGGAAGAAGCAAGUGCUUUUGCCAUUGUCAAGAUGGAAGAAACAAGUGCUUCGGCCAUUUUGAGAGAGAGAGAGAGAGAGAGAGAUUAAUUGAUUGAUUAGUGAAAGAAAAUUGAUGGCUGAUUAAACCAUCCAACUCAACUUUAUUCAGCAAUAACUUUUACUAGAUGAUCUAUAAUUGCAGAACAAGUGUUUCUGCUAUUUUCCUAAAAGAAAAAGAGGCCUUGGUAAUGGGUAAAGAGAGAUAAGAUCUGGAAUUUCAGGGAAACUACAAUGGUGACCUUGGGAUUAGGUAGCAAGUAAAAUGGGGACCACUUCUAUAAUUGUUGACUGGUAACCUGCGGUAAACCGAAUGAUGAAGCUUUUCAUAUCAACUACGAGGCAACGGCAAAGAUAUAAUUUUUUUGACAAAAUUAUCAAAUAAGAAAAAUAAAUAAUUUUCAAGUAGUGAUUAAAUUUUUUUUAUGAAAAUAAAAUAUCCCAAGAGCAUUUUAUAAUAAAAAAUAAUAAAAAAAAUUCUUUGUUACUUAAACUUUAUAUUUGCCGGUUAUCAUACUUUUGACUAAAUGGCGAAUAUACUGAGAACCUUAGAAUAUGCUUUUUGCAAGUUGCAACAUCAGAUGUACAGCUCAUGACGUUGUCAGCAUGAGAGGUAUUGGUGAGGGACAUGGUUCAACAUUUGAUUUUUUACCACGUAGUCCUUCCAUGCGUGGAAUAAUUUGUUUUGUUACGUAACUAUAGUUUCAAGAUCACAUGCUUGCACGGUGAGAGGAAUUGCCAUCGCCCUGCCAAAGGGAUAAGCUUUCAAGAAAUGAAGUGACAAAAGAAAAUAUAUUGGAGCCACCAACCCACCUACUUACUGAAUAACAAGGUCAGGCGAAUGAGGUUCACAACACAUAAAUCUAUUAAAACAGUACUAAGGUUUCAUUUAAAUCUCACCGCAUUUUAAUAUGAUAUAAUUAAAUUUAUCAUAUUUUUAAUUAAAUUUAAAUAUUAAUUUCAGUAAAAUCAAAUUAAUAUAAAUUUUUUAUUAAUUUUUUUAAUUAUAAUUACAAUAAUUUUUUUAAUCGUAAUUACAAUAAAUUUUAUUACUGUUUUCAAUCUCAUCGUCAUUCUAAAUGAAGUUUAAUUUAGGAAAGUAUAGAAUUAGCAAGGCAUUUACUACUACUACUACUACAUAUAUACCAAUAUUCCUAACGUAAGAGUGAAUCAGAUAUAACGAAUCUAUCAAAACUUCUAGGUUGAUAACAUAGAACUCCUAGACAAAACGUUUACAUGUAAGUUUGUGAUGUCAAUUUCAAUAAUAUCAUCUCAUAACAUCAGUUAAUCUUUAUGCAUGAUUAUCUAUACUGGGGCUGGGAUUUGCUUGAGUUGACGGUUAGAAGUUUUGUGAUCCAACAAAAACAAAAUUUAGUUGGCCUAGACCCUUGAUCAAGUUCAUAGCACAAUUUGCAAUUUUGAUCAACUUUUUAUUAUUAUCAUAUCAUCAAACAUAUUAAAGCAAUUGGGGUUUAUUUUAUGAGAUUAGUUGUUGACUAUAUCAUAAUAUGUUCAUACUAUUAUAAUAUCUACCUACCAAAGUUCGUGGUAACUCCCAAGAGAUCAAAUUUAUGGAGAUAAAUGUCCUUUUAUAUAUACUAGUAAAAAUCUCUCGUUCAGGAGAAGUAUCAUAUUUUUUAUUUUUAAAAGUAAAAAAUUGGAGAAAAUCACGUAUCAAGUCAUGCAUCUUACAUUUAUAUAUGUUGUCAAAUAUUUUUCAAAAUCCUGAAAGAAAGAACGAUUGGCUAAGUAACCAAAGUACUCUCUGCCUUUAUCCUUCAUCUCCGAAAAGUUCAGAAAACCUUGUUGUAAUACCUGUAAAAAUAUAUAUAUUUUAAGUAUUUUUAUAAGUGGAUGGACUUUUUAAUAAAAAAUGAGAAAUGUAUAAGAACUAUUGAUAAAUAAUUUAAUUUUUUAAUAGGAUUAAUUUAUUCUACUAUUUUCGGUCGAUGACUAAUUGAAAGAAAAAUAAAAGCAUAGUUCUUCUUUCUCUUUUUCUUAUACAAAAAAGAUAAAUCCAAGGAUUCCAAGUGAAGGGUAACAACAAAAUCUACAAAGAGAAUUGUCUGUCAAAGGUGAGUAAGUAAUUUCCUUUAAUUUUGGAGAAAUAAUGUUGAUUGUUAAGUCCUGAGGAGUAAUUUAUAAUUGAAAAACCCUAAAAUUUUAGGAAAUCCAUUAUCCCUCUUUAAGAUUAGUUUGGGCAAAUCAUUUAGACUUUAAUUAGGGUCUAAUUAAGUGUUGAGAAAGUUUGGUAAUGUGAUUUUAUUACUGUAAAAAUAAAAAAUAGGAAUUAAUCUUGAUAUUUGUGAAUAUCAAGGAAAGUUUCUAUUUUGUAUGAACCUUGAUAUUUGCAGUGAUGGAUUGUGAUAAUAUUCUAUAUUAAUGGAUAAAAUACUGCUAUGAUUAUUAUAUAUCCUUGGAAAGCUUGCCGAAUUUACUUUCCAAUGAAAUAAACAAGAGUUAAUUUUGAAUUUUCUAUGAAGAGUAGGUUAAUAUUUAUUUAAGGAUAUGUAGGCUGCCUAAUAGCAGUAACAGGGAAGAAUUGUGAAAUUUCUCUUAAUUUUUAUACAAGGAAUUAAAGAUUAAGCCAUACACGUUUGGAAAGCUUAUUAAGUCUACUUUCCAACAAAAUAAUCAAAAUGGAAUUUGGAGUUUCCUAUGAAUAAUUGAGUAAUUUUUAUUAAAAGGUAUACAUACUAUAUGGCAACAGCAUAUUACGUGGAUUGUAAAAAUUAUUAUAAUUAAUCCAUAAGGAAUCACGAGAUGGGCCAUAUAUGGUUAAAAGCUUAUCUAGUCUAGUUUCUAAUGCAUUAAGAAGAUUUUAAUUCUAAAUUGGAUAUCUUAAGAUAUGAUCAUUUUCGUGAAAGUAGCACAAGUUGCCAUAAUUUGUUACUUGAGUUAAUUCUUGUUUAACUUAAUUAUUUUGGAAUAAGUGGUCUCAAAUGGGUUGAUUAAUUAUUGUUAUGAUGAAGUUAUCUUGAAUAGGCCAUUAAUUAUUUGAGAGAAAAAAAUUAAGUGGUGGAAUAAGAAGGAGGUAAGUAAAAUCUCAUACAUUUUACUUGUUUUCAAAUCUAUGUAUAUAUAUAUAUAUGUUUCUAAAUGAAUGAAUGUUUUAUUUCAUUAUUUUCGAUGUAUGAAAAUAUCAUCAAGCAUAUGAUUAUUUUACAUUUCUCUAUAUAAACGAUGGAUCAUGCUUAUGAAUGAAAUGAGAAAAUGAUUUAUGUUUAGAGAAUGAUUUUAUGAUAGUUAUGUUUUUUACAUCCCUAAGAAGUGAGAUCAUCGAUACCAUAACUAAUUCUAUGGCCUUGGCUAAUGGGUAAUAGUACUUAAUAUAGAUAUGAUCAUAUGGCUCUACUAACAGGUUAUAGUAGUUAGCAUAAGGUCCUAGCUAGCGGGUUAUAAUUGUUAGCAAUAAUCAUGAGGAUAAAAUUAUCGAUACGACUAAUGUCAAAGGUUAUAGUAGUGAUCGUAGCUAACAAUAAAUGAAUGAUAAUGGUGAUUUAUGAUGAUUUUUACAAUUUGAUCCAUGAUUUGAUGACAUGUUUUGAUAUUAAUUUAUGAUAUACUAAAUGCUUGACAGAAUGUUAAUUUUUGAAUUAUUUUUGACAUUAUGAGUUGAUGAAUGUUUUCGAAAUGAUCUAUGUAGUACAUAUUAAAAUGAUAUUUGAUUCGGUAAGGUGUAUGAGCCUAUAAUUGCUAAGCUGUGAUUUGCUUAUUCUUUUUUUUUUUUUUUUACAGAUGAUAUGAAUGAUAAGUAUGAUUAGUCUUGUAAGAAGCUAGAAGAAUUUAAGCAUUGGAAAACUAUUUAGAGAAUAGGAUUUUAUGAAGUAUUAUUUCUUUUUAGUCGUAACACUUGACAUUGGUAGUUUAGAGAUAUGUUAUUUAGUUAUUUUAUAGAUAUUAAAACUUAUUGAGAACCUUAUUUUAUUUGAAGAUUUUUCAAUGGUAAUAUAUUAGGCUUCGUAUUACUUUGAGGUUUUACUUCAAAGUAAUACGAUCAUGUUAUGUCUCGAUAGGUGUGACAUAAAGUGGUAUCGGAGCCAAAGGUUAAGAUUUGAGAGAAGAAAGAAUUGAGUUAUAGUUGGUGUAUAACUUAAGUAUUCUUAGUAUUUACACUAAUAAGAUUCAUUUAUUCCAUUUUGAUUGCUUAUGAGCUAUUUUCGUUGGUACUAAUUUAGGUGAGAAUGAAUGCUGGAAAUGAGACACUGGCAAACUUUACUAGUUGGAGGAAAAAAUUGAUAAGAGAAUAGAUGAAUUUGAAACUACCAAUGUUCGAGAUGAGCAAAUUAAUAUUGAAAAUGCUCCUAAUGCUCCUACGAUGUAAGAUGAUUUAGCUGAAGUAUGUCAAGUGAUAUUUAAUUUGAUAUAACAACAAUAGCAGACAUAAAAAAUUUGCAACAACAUGAGAUAACUUAUGAGUGGUUUCGACGGGUUAACCCAUUUUAGUUUGAGGCAGCCCUGAUCCUUUAACUGUGGAAGCUUCAGUUAAAAAGUUUAAAAAACUCUUUAAGGCGAUGUGAAUGUCUAAGGAUUUGAAGUUGAGUUUAGCUAUCGUUCAACUAAGAGAAAAUGCUAAGUACUGGUAGGAUACUAUAAAUCUCACAUUUGAAGAUUCAGUCAAGCCUUUGACUUGGAGAAAGUUUAAAAAAAUUUUCUUUGAUCAAUAUUUUUCAGAGUCAAUGAAAGUAGAAAAGGAGAAUGAGUUUCUAUAGUUAUAACAAAAGCAUGAUAUGUCUGUGCUAGAGUAUGCCAACAAGUUUAACGAGUUGGGAUGUUUCUGCACUCACAUCAUUAACUCAAAUAGAAUAAGACAAUAUGAUUCAAACAUAGGUCAAAGUCAUGUAGUCGAUCUUGUUUGUCUUUUCAUAUAAUUGAUAGUUACAAAGAUGUGUUACAAUAAGCAUUGAAGAUUGAGUCAGACAUGAAAGAUAUGAGUAAGAGAGGGAUGAUAAAAAUUGCUCGAGGUUUGAGAGAGAUCAGAGUAAUCAUCAAAAGAAUGUAAAAAGAAAUGUAAGUAAGAAAUAAGGGAUAAAAUCUAGCACUAACUUGAGAAAUGUGAUUUUUACAAUCGAUUUCAUUUUAGACCAUAUCUUAGGAAAGUAAAAGUUUGCUUUAAAUAUGAGAAAUAUAGGCAUAUUACUUGAGACUGCCCAAACAAAAAGAAUAAUGCUGUUAAAGUUAAACCAGCAAAACAAACACAGAAGAAAAAUGCUAAAGUUUUUGUUUUAACUCAUUAGGAUGCUAAUACAAGUGACAAUAUGGUGGCAAGUACUGUUCCCAUUAAUCAUGUCAAUGCCAAUGUUCUAUUUGAUUUUAGUGCCUCUCAUAGCUUUGUAUCUAUCAAGUUUGCUAUAUCAUUGAGUAUUGAACCUGAGAAGUUGAAUGAGCCUUUAUAUGUUGCUAUUAUUGUGGGCAAAAUUAUGUAUGCUGAUAUUAUUUAUAAUAAUUAUGUUAUACAUAUAGGGGGUUGUGAACUACUAAUGCUAGAAUUUAAUAUGAUCUUAGGGUUGAAUUGGUUGUUUGUACAUCAUGCAUUUAUUGAUUGCUAUGGAAAGAGAGUAGUAUUUUAGUGUACAAGACAACCAAAACUUGUAUAUGAAGGUGAUCAUUUGUGUCAAUCUCAAGUUCCAUGCAAUCUUUAAAAAAAGGGUGUCAAGGCUACCUCGCCUAUGUGAAAGACACUCUAAUAAAUGUAGGUUCAUGAUUAGAAGAUAUUUUGAUUGUUAGAAACCUUUCUGAUGUUUUUCUGAAGACUUUUUUGGCCUACCCCUAAUCAAAAAAUUGAAUUUGAAAUUGAUCGUAUCCUGGAACUGUACCAAUAUUUAAGCCUAUUUAUCAUAUGGCUCCAUCUAAAUUACAUGAUCUAAAGGUACAACUUUAAGAACUAUUAGAGAAAAAGUUCAUUCAUCCUAGUAUGUCACCUUGGGGAGCUCUUGCGUUGUUUGUUAAAAAGAAAUAUGGGAGUUUGCGCUUAUGCAGUGAUUAUAAGGAGUUAAACAAAGUGACUGUAAAGAACAAAUAUCUUCUUCAUCGAAUUGAUGACUUGUUUGAUCAAUUACAAGGUGCAAAAGUCUUUUUAAAGAUUAAUUUAAGUUCUAGAUAUCAUCAGUUGAAGAUUAAGAUAGGUGAUAUACCUAAGAUUAUUUUUUGGACUAGGUAUGGCAAUUAUAAAAUUUUGGUUAUGCCUUUUGGAUUAACAAAUGCGCCUGUUGUAUUUAUGGAUAUGAUGAAUAAAAUCUUUAAGCAGUAUCUAAAUCAGUUUGUUGUUGUUUUCAUUGAUGACAUUUUAGUUUAUUCUAAGAGAGAUGGAAAACAUGAGAAACAUUUGAGGAUUGUACUAUAAACUUUAUGGGAUAAACAACUCUUUGCAAAGUUUAGCAAAUAUAAAUUUUGGUUAACAAGUGUUGCUUUCCUCGACCAUGUUGUUUCUUAAUAUGGGAUUUUAGUUGAUUUAAAAAAGACUGAAGUAGUAGUGAAUUGGCCUUGCCCAAUAAAUGUGACAGAAGUAAGAAGUUUUUUAUGCUUAACAAGUUAUUAUAGAAGAUUUGUUGAAGUGUUUUCUUAAAUUAUUGUGCCAUUGACUCGUUUAACUCAAAAGCGAGCAAAAUUUGAAUGGACUAAAAAAAGUGAACAGAGUUUUCAAAAGUUAAAGCAACGAUUGGUGUUAGCAUUUGUCCUUACCCUACCUUUUAAUUUUGGUAGUUUUACCAUUUACAGUGAUGCUUCCAAUAAGGGGUUGAGUUGUGUGUUAAUACAGAAUGAUAGGGUAAUUGCUUAUGCUUUUAGGUAAUUAAAACCCUACGGAUUGAAUUAUCUGACUCAUGACUUAGAGUUGGUCAUCAUUGUGUUUGCUUUGAAAAUAUAGAGACAUUAUUUGUAUAAGGAGCCUUGUACAAUUUAUACAAAUCAUUAGAGUUUAAAAUAUCUAUUCACGCAAAAAAAGUUAAACAUGAGAUAGAGGGGAUAGUUAAAACUAAUCAAAGAUUAUGAUUUAACUAUCAAUUAUCGUCCAGGCAAAGCCUAUAUAGUCGCUGAUGCUCUUAGUAGAAAGUCCAUUGAGAGUAUGGCUGCUUUGAUUACUUCGUAACCAAAAUUGUCAGAAGAACUUGAAGCACAGCAAAUUGAGGUGAUUGUAAAAAGAAAGGUGUUGUUAUGGUUAGUUUGUUGGUUCAACCAACUUUAAUUGAAAAGAUAAAAUUGACACAAAAAAAAAAGAUAAUGAGUUGUACAAAAUGAAAGAAAAUGUACAGAAUGAUUUUCGAUCAGAGUUUAAGCUUUACGAGGAUGACACAUUACAUUUUGGAAAUAGAUUGUAUGUACCAAAUAAUUUUGAGCUGAAACAAGAGAUUUAAAAAAAAACAGAUGGGUCUCGAUUCAUUUUAUAUCCUGUAGGCACUAAGAUAUAUAAAGAUUUAAAAGUAAGUUUUUGGUGAAAUAACAUGAAUCGUAAAGCUCAGUUUGUGUCCCAAUGUCUAGUGUGUUAGCAAAUUAAGGCUGAACACCAAAGAUCAUCAGGGUUAUUGCAACCUUUGGAGAUACCAAAAUCAAAGUGGAAGCACAUCUCUAUAGAUUUCAUGAUGAGAUUGCCUAAAUCAUCAAAAUGAAAUAAUGCAGUAUGGGUAGUUGUUAAUAAACUCACUAAAUCAACUCAUUUUCUACUUACCAAGUCAACUACUCCACUUGAUAAACUAGCGCAAUUGUAUAUAGAUGAAAUUGUCUGAUUGCAUAGAGUUUCAGUAAGUAUUAUGUUAGAUAGAGAUUCUAGAUUUGUUUUUAACUUUUGGGUAAGCUUGUAGUGAGCGAUAGAGACAAAUUUGAAAUUAAGUGCAACCUUUCACCAUCAGACGGAUGGGCAAACAGAGAAAACAAAUCAGAUUCUAGAAAAUAUGCUUCAAGCAUGUGUGAUUGAUCUAAAAGGUAGUUGGGAUGAUUACUUACCUUUAGCAGAGUUCGCUUAUAACAACAGCUACCAAUCUAACAUUGAGAUGGCUCUUUUUAAAGCCUUGUAUGGUAAAAAAUAUAGAUACUCUUUAUGUUGGGAUGAUGUUGGAGAGAAAAAACUUUUAGGGCUAGAAUUGGUGUAACUGACUAUGGAAAAGAUUAAAGUGAUUAGGAAGAGACUUAAAGCAGCAUAAGAUCAUAAAAGAGUUGGAUAGACAAAAAAAAAGGAGUUGGAAUUUCAACAAAGAAACUAUGUCUUUUUAAAAAUGUCAUCUACAAAAGGUGUUAUAUGGUUUAGGAAGUGAAAAAAGUUAAGCCCACAUUAUAUAGGACCAUUUGAAAUUCUCAUAAGGUAGGAAAAGUUGCAUAUAGGAUAGCCUUGCCACCUCAGCUAUUUGUGUGCAUAAUGUUUUUCAUGAGUCCAUGUUGAGAAAAUAUAUCUCUGACCUAAGCCAUGUGGUAGAGUAUGAAACUUUUAGAAGUUUAAGAAGAUUUAACAUACUCGAAAUAUCCUAUUUGAAUAAUUGAUCGGAAAGAGCAAGUCUUAAGGCAUAGAACUAUUCCCUUUAUAAAAGUUUAAUAGAGUAAUCAUAUACCAAGAGAAGUAACUUGGGAAAUAGAAGAUGAUAUGAAGCAACGACAUCCUUAGUUAUUCAAAAAUGAAGGUAAACCAAGUUUCUAGGACAAAACUUUUUAUAAGUUAGGAAGAAUGUAAUACCAUAAAAAAAGAUUAUUUUAAGUAUUUUUAUAAGUGGAUGGACUUUUUAAUAAAGAAUAAAAAAUGCAUAGGAUCGAUUGAUAAAUAACCUAAUUUCUUUAAUAUGGUUAACUUAUUCUAUUAUUUUUGAUCGAUGACUGAUCAAAAGAAAAAUAAAAGCAUAGUUCUUCUCACUUUUUUAUACAAAAAAGACAAAUUAAAGAGUUCCAAGUGAAGAGUAACAAUAAAAUCUAUAAAGACAAUUGUUUGUUAGAUAUGAGUAAGUAAUUUCCUUCAAUUUUGAAGAAAUAAUGUUGAUUGUUAAGUCUUGAGGAGUAAUUUGUAAUAGAGAAACCUUAAAAUUUUAGGAAAUCCAUUAUCCCACUUUAAGAUUAGUUUGAGCAAAUCAUUUAGACUUUAAUUAGGGUCUAAUUAAGUAUUGAAAAAGUUUGGUAAUAUGAUUUUAUUGCUGUGAAAAUAGGAAACAUGAAUUUGAUAGGAUUAGAAAGGAAAAUUUCUGUUUCAUAUGAACCUUGAUGUUUAUAGUGAUGGAUUAGGAUAAUAUUUUGUAUUAAAGGCUAAAAUACUAUUGUGAUUGUUAUAUAUCAUUGGAAAGUUUGCCGAAUUUGCUUUCCAAUGAAAGAAAUGAGAGUUAAUUAUGAGUUUUUUUAUGAAGAGUAGGUUAAUAUUUACUUAAGUUUAUGCAGGCUACCUAGUAGCAGUAGUAAGGAAAAAUUUCAAAAUUCUUUUUAAUUUUCAUACAAAGAAUUACAGAUUAAACCAUAUAUGUUUGGAAAGCUUAUUGAGUCUACUUUCCAACAAAACAAUCGAAAUUAAAUUUGGAGUUUCCUACUAAUAAGUACAUAAUUUUUAUUAGAAGAUAUGCAAGCUGUUUGGUAACAGUAUAUGACGUAGAUUGUAAAAAUUAUUAUAAUUAAUCCACAAGGAACAAUCAGAUGGGCCAUAUAUGGUUAGAAAGCUUAUCUAGUUUAGUUUCUAACGCAUUAAAAAGAUUUUAAUUCGAAUUUGGAUAUAUUGAGAUAUGAUAAUUUUAGUGAAAGUAGUGUAAGCAACCAAAAUUAGUUACUUGAGUUAAUUCUUGUUUAACUCAAUUGUUUUGGAAUAAGUGGUCUCAAAUUGGUUGAUUAAUUAUUAUUAUGAUGAAAUUAUCUUGAAUAGGCCAGUAAUUAUUUGGGAGAAAAAACUAAGUAGUGGAAUCAGAAGCAGGUAAGUAGAAUCUUAUACACUUUGCUUGUUUUCGAAUAUAUAUAUAUAUAUGUUUCUAAAUGAAUGAAUAGUUUUAUAUCAUUAUUUUCGAUGAAUGAAAAUAGGAUUAAGCAUAUGAUUAUUUUGCGUUUCUCUAUAUAAAUGAUGGAUCAUGUUUAUGAAUGAAAUGAGAAAAUAAUUUAUAUUUAAAGAACGAUUUUAUGAUAGCUACUUUUUUUACAUCAAUGGGAAGUGAGAUCAUCGACACUAAAACUAGUUUUACAGACCUGACUAAUGGGUAAUAGUAGUUAGUAAAGACAUGAUUCAUACAGCCCUACCAAUGGGUUAUAGUAUUAGUAAAGACAUGAUUAUACAGCCCUACUAACGGAUUAUAAUAGUUAACGAAGCUCUGGCUAGCGGGUUAUAAUAGCAAUGAUCAUGAGGAUGAAAUUAUUGAUACGACCAAAUGUCAUGGAUUAUAGCAAUGAUUGUAGCUAACGAUAAAUGAAUGACAAUGAUGAUUUGUGAUGAUUUUUACAAAUUGAUCUAUGAUUUGGUGACAUGUUUUGAUAUUGAUUUAUGAUCUACAAAAUGCUUGACAGAAUGCUGAUUUUUUAAUUAUAUUUGACAUUAUGAGUUGAUGAAUGUUUUCGAAAUGAUCUAUGUAGUAUGUAUGAAAAUGAUGUUUGAUUCGGUAAAGUGUGUGAGCUUAUAGUUGUUGAGCUGUGGUUUGCUCAUUUCUCAUUUUCUUUUCUUUUACAGAUGAUAUGAAUGAUAAGUAUGAUUAAUCUUGUUAGAAACUAGAAGAAUCUGAACAUUGGAGAACUACUUAGAGAAUAGAUUUUAUGAAGUAUUAUUUCUUUUUAAGUUGUGACAUUCAACGUUGACGGUUUGGAGACAUGUUAUUUAGUUAUUUUAUAGAUAUUAAAACUUAUUGAGAACCUUAUUUUAUUUGAGGAUUUUCCAAUGAUUAUGGAUUAAGUUUUGUAUUGCUUUGAGAUUUUACUACAAAAUAUUAUGACUGUGUUAUGUUUCGAUUUCAAGGUGUGACAUUUGUAGCAUCCAAUGCAAACUCAGUUCAUCUCUUGACAUCACAUAAUCCUUGGGAAAAAUUGCACAAUAUAACAAGCAUCGUCUUAUUGUCGAGGGUAAAUCAUAGUAACUCAACAAUAGAGGCCUAAACAUAUCUUUAUUUACUAUUUCCAAUUUCAAAAACUCACAAUUCAAAACAUCUAGCCAUUCAACUCUACUUUUUUCUCGUAGCAAACUGCCUAAUGUCUUAGCUGCUAGAGGUAAACCUUUACAUUUUUUUGCUAUUUCCUUCCCAACAUCCUCUAAACCUUCACACUCACUUCCCUCCCUUUCAAAAAAUGAACUUGCCUAAUAAUCAUCCAACAUACCUCGUCCGAUAAUCGUUCUAAAGGAAAGACACGAGAUGAUCACCUUGACAACGGAAUCUUUACGAGUUGUCACUAAAAUCCUACUACCCUUUUUGCAAUGUUGGAAAGUAGCUUUUAGUGAUUCCCAAUUUCGGCCAUCAUCUGUCUACACAUCAUCAAGAACAAGAAACAAUGUACUUGUUUCGAUUUUCUCGCAAAUUUUGUCCAGAAGACUUUGUAGAGAAAUUGGAUAUUGGAAAUUUGUUGAACCACCAUCAAGGCCUUUCAGAAUCUUUAUUGCAAUUUUGGACUGAGCAAAAAAGUCCGAGACACACAGCUAUAGUCUUUUCAAAGGAUUUUCUGCGUUUAACAUCAUUAAACACCAUUUGAGUAAGAGCAGUUUUCCCGAUCCCUCCCAUCCCUACGUGAGAGAUAGUCUGAAUGCAGCCUUCUUCACUAGUCUUGUUCAGCAAUUUCUCCACUAUCUCUUUUUUAAUCUCAUCUCGACCAUGUAACUUGGACUCAUCGAUAAAAGAUGUAAUCUCUACUCGUCUAGGUUGUUUGGUUUCUCUUUUUGUCAAAUGAUAUCUCUCUUUCUCCUUAGCAAUCUCAUCUAGCCUUUCAUUGAUUCCCUUUAUUUUGUUAGCAAUGUCAUGACGUCUAACAACUUGCAGAAAAGAAGAAGCCCAUGAAGUUAUAUAAGUUUUCAUCCUCUUGGGAAUAGAAGCACUUACAUCUAAUUCAGGAUCUGUUUGUAACUUGGAGAGUGCAGCGCUCCACUCAUCCAACACGUUCUCCAUGUCAUAAGACACUUCUUUGAGCUUAUCUAACCAACCUUUCACAUUUUUCUGCACAAUUUGCUUCUCCUUUGCAUCUUCAAGCGCAUCGUGGAUGGCCUUAAAAUUGCUUUCAAACAUUUCGACUUCUUUCUCAACAUGUGUCACCAACUUCAAAUCUUGCCGCCCAUUCUUAAUAGUGAUAUAUUGCAGUGAGUUGCUCCAAGAUGGAAGACACAAGUGCUUCGGCCAUUUUGAGAGAGAGAGAGAGAUUAAUUGAUCGAUUAGUGAAAGAAAAUUGAUGCGCGAUUAAACCAUCCAGAAAGAGGUAAAAGAGGGUGGGAGAUAACUUCUUUCAUAUCGUAGCUUGUUUCGGAUAAAUCAUGGUCAAAAUAAUUUAAAUAACGCUCAACUGCAGCUUGAUAUAGAGAUACAGACAGACAGACAGACAGAUAGAACCCAAUAUUCAACUUAGUUAUAUUUUCUUCAGCAUAGGAAUAUACAACAAUGGAAAGAAGUCUUUGUUUAUUAGUACAACUUGCUAUUCAUGUAUUACGUAUUAUAAAUAUCACAUAUUAUUUAUAUAUUAUUUAAGUGUUAUAAAUAUUACGUGUUAAUUAUAUAUUAUCAAAGAUAAUAUAAUAAAAAAUAUUAUUAAAUAAUCAUACAUUUUUAAAAAAAUCAAAUACAAAAAUCAUACACUCAUUAUGUCAAUAAAAUCUAAAAAUUGCAUUUUUUUUUUCAAUUUCACUUUCCCUUAUAAAACCUAAAAAUCUGUGAACCAAACGUACAUAGAAUAAAUUUAAUUUAUAUAUGGCAUCUAGUCUUUAACCAAAUGCCCUUAACUUCUAAAUUAUUUUGAUUAGGUCUUAACCUUUUAAAGUGGUUUUAUUUUGGCCCUUUUUCAGUUUUUCACAUUUCAUUAACAAUUGAGAAAAUAUCAAUGUGACAUGAUUAGGGAACAUCUAUGUGGCAUGCCAUGUAAGCUGCAAUAUAUAUAGAGAUUUUUAAAGUUUAUAAAAUUAUUAUUUAAAGGAAUAACAGAAGAGAAACCAUUUUAAAAGUUGAGAACUACAUGAAAAAUUUGACGACUAAAAUGAAAUCAAAACAAAAGCUACCAAGGAAUAAGGCUUUGUUCAUAAGCACAAAAAACAAAAGGAGUUACAUUUUCCUCAACUUGGAAAUAAUAAAGAAACAAGUCUUUGUUUAUUAGUAUAAAAAAAUAAUUGGAGAAUUGGUUGGCAUUGUUUAUUCGUACUAGUUCAAUUUGAUUUUUUUUUUUUUAUAGCAGUAAGUUAGGACUUCUGCCUUCUUUUGGGGUAAAUUUCAUCUAUGGCAUCUAAUCUUGGAUUCUAAUUUAACUUUGGUCCUUAACUUCUAAAUUGUUUCCCUUAGAUCUUAACCUUUUAAAGUGGUUUUAUUUUGAUCCCUUUUUUACAGUUUUCAUUAAUAAUUCAAAGAUUGAGCACUAAAAUAAAAUCAAAAUAAAAGGUUAGAGACCCUAAAUGGAAUUUACCGUUUCUUUUAAAUAAACGAAUUGCUGCCAUCCCACAAAAGUUCAUCAGAGCAUCAGCCUAUAGAGGCUAGUGGGAAACCUCUUCUCUAAAAUGUCUCAAGCUGAUGUAAAUUAGUUCCUCAAUAAUCUUAGACGUAAAUUAGUCCACAGAAUAAAAUAUGGUAGCAAUACUAUAAUAUUAAAACAGGGUGAUCUAGUUAAACAUCAUACACAUUAAGUUCAUUCAUAAGACAAGCAUACAACAAAUCAUACCAUUACAGAUUUCCAAUGACAGCAAUCUGCUAACACAAACAAUAGGUUCUACUACAUUAUUACAAGUAAGAACAGGUGAAAGCCACAAUCUUGUCUUCUUUGAUAUGGACAACACAACUUGUUUGAUUCACGUAUCUGUUGAUGUUCCUUAGAAGAGCGAGGUCAUCCUUGCUUGAAACUUCAACACAGCAAUCAGAUUUUUUGAGCUUUGAAGUGAUUUCUGCAAAGCAAAGUUUGAGCAAAAAAUUAUCUUAGAAAAAAUGGAAAGAAAAGAAGAACAAAGGUAGAUAUUUCAAAUAGCUUUUGCUAAAAUGCUACGAGGAUAAUGCAUAUUUGAUUGACUUACGCAAUUAUUAUAAAAUUUCAUGCAAACGAAAAGCUGGACUCUUUUUUUAACAUAUAGAUAGACGUAGUAAACUAAAAUCUACUAACGAAUAGUGAAUUUAGUUGUGGUACUAAUUUGGAGAAAAUUUGGAAUGAGAACCAUGAAAUAGAUACCUGUUUGUUUCUUUCGGUAUAUCUAGCUCAGCCACUGGAGGCAUAAGUUGAGAGGUGGAUUCAAGGCUUCAACGAUGUUAUUUCUCAUUUCUCGCUGGCCGAUGCCCGCCCAUGUCAUUGUCAUUUUGGUGAGAUGUAUCUUAUUGUGAAGUUUGGCUCUCUUAGCCUCUUCGCUGUCAAUCGAAUUUCCUUCCAUAUCCAACUGAAGACCUUCACACAGCAGGUCCAAGUUUUCUAGAUCUCCAACACUGAAUUCUGUCGCAUCAUUGCGGUCUACUCUUGCUAUGAUUCUGUCCAAUCUCCUAAGGCCAGUUAAUCUCCCAAUCCCUUUCGGAUAGUAUGCUAGUCCAACACAAGUAGAUGUAUAAAGAUACUUCAAAUUGAUCAAUUUCUUCAUCUCAUCUGGUAGUUUCGUAAGAUUUAGACAACUGCAGAGAUUCAAGUAUUGCAAAUUUUGUAGUUCGCAAACUGAUUCAGGCAAUUUUAUUAAAUUGUAGCUAAAACGAAAACUGAGGUAUCUCAAGUGAAUUAAGUUUCCUAUUUCUUUUGGAACAUUUUGAACACUUGCAGCGAAUGACCCAGUCAAGAACCCAAACUCCAAAAGUCUUAGACUCUUUGCUGUAUUGAAUAAGUUCCGCAAGGCUUCACUGGUGGUUACAACAUGCCCUGGACAAUUGUGAUAAGGCUUCGCAACUUUUCAACUCCAUUUAUACACACAGGAAAUCUUUUCCCUUGUCCAAUUGUUAUCCUUGAAUGGCGAGCCUUUUUGGAAGAUAAAUCCAAUUUCAAAGUUUCAACCGAAUUAAUCUCCUCCGCCACAAUCUCAUCUUUUGUCAAAAACUGAAGAAAAUCAUGCACCAAGUCAUGCAUCUUACAUUCAUAUAUGUUGCCAGAAGUAUCUUUUUUAAAAUCCUGAAAGAAAGAACGACCUGCUAAGUGGUAAAAGUACUCUUCACCUUUAACCUCCAUCUCCAAAUUGUCAUCAAAGUUCAGAAAACCUUGUACCAUCCAAUGCAAAAUCAGUUCAUCUCUCAACAUCACAUAAUCCUUGGGAAAAAUUGCACAAUAUAACAAGCAUCGUCUUAUUGUCGAGGGUAAAUCGUAGUAACUCAACAAUAGAGGCGUAAAAAUAUCUUUUUCUGCUAUAUCCAAUUUCCAAAACUCACUAUUCAAGACAUUUUCCCAUUCAACUCUACUUCUUUUUUCUCGUAGCAAACUUCCUAAAGUCUUUGCAGCAAGAGGCAAGCCUUUACACUUUUUAGCUAUUUCCAUUCCAACACCCUUUAAAACUUCACACUCACUUCCCUCUCUUCCAAUAAAUGCAACUUGACUAAGAAUCAUCCAACAUACCUCGUCCGAUAAUUGCUCUAAACGAAAGAUAUGAGAUGAUUCCAUCACCUGGACAACAGAUUCUUUCCGAGUAGUCACUAAAAUCCUACUACCUUUUAGGCAAUGUUGGAAAGUAGCUUUUAGUGAUUCCCAAUUUCGGCCAUCAUCUGUCCACACAUCAUCAAAAACAAGAAACAAUUUACUUGUUUUGAUUUUCUCGCAAAUUUUGUCCAGAAGACUUUGUAGUGAAAUUGGAUAUUGGAAAUUUGUUGAACCACCAUCAAGGCCUUCCAGAAUCUCUCUUGCAAUUUUGGACUGAUCAAAAAAGUCCGAGACACACACCCAAACUGUCUUGUCAAAGGAUUUUCGGCGUUUAACAUCAUCAAACACCAUUUGAGCAAGAGCAGUUUUUCCGAUCCCUCCCAUCCCUACUAGAGAGAUGGUCUGAAUGCAGCCUUCUUCACUAGUCUCAUUCAACAAUUUAUUCACUAUUUCUUCUUUAAUCUCAUUUCGACCAUGUAACUUGGACACAUCAAUAAAAGAUGUACUCUCUACUCGUCUAGGUUGUUUGGUUUCUCUUUUUGUCAAAUGAUAUCUCUCUUUCUCCUUAGCAAUCUCAUCUAGCCUUUCAUUGAUUCCUUUUAUUUUGAUAGCAAUGUCAUGACGCCUAACAACUCGACGACCAAAGGAAAAACAUGAAAUGAAGGGACAUACCAUCCUCUCGGGAGUAGAAGCACUUGCAACUAAUUCAGGAUCUGUUUGUAACUUGGAGAGUGCAGUGCUCCACUCAUCCAACACGUCCUCCAUGUCAUAAGACACUUCUUUGAGCUUAUCUAACCAACCUUUCACAUCUUUCUCCACAAUUUGCUUUUCCUCUGCAUCUUCAAGCGCAUCGUGGAUGGCCUUAAAAUUGCUUUCAAGCUUUUCGACUUCUUUCUCAACAUCUGUCACCAACUUCAGCUCUUGCCUGGCAUUCUCAAUGGUGAUAGCUGCUAGUUUCUUCAAGAUGGAAGAAACAAGUGCUUCUGCCAUUUUGAGAGAGAAGAGAGAGAGAGAGAAGAGAGAGAGAGAGAGAGAUUAAUUGAUCGAUUAGUGAAAGAAAAUUGAUGCGCGAUUAAACCAUCCAGAAAGAGGUAUAAGAGGGUGGGAGAUAACUUCUUUCAUAUCGUAGCUUGUUUCGGAAAAGUCAUGGUCAAAAUAAUUUAAAUAACGCUCAACUGCAGCUUGAUAUAGAGAUACAGACAGACAGAUAGAACCCAAUAUUCAACUUAGUUAUAUUUUCUUCAACAUAGGAAUAUACAACAAUGGAAAGAAGUCUUUGUUUAUUAGUACAACUUGCUAUUCAUGUGUUACGUAUUAUAAAUAUCAUAUAUUAUUUAUAUAUUAUUUACGUGUUAUAAAUAUUAUGUGUUAAUCAUAUAUUAUUAAAAUAAUAUGUAAAAAAUAUUAUUAGAUAAUCAUACAUUUUUCUAAAUCAAAUACAAAAAUCAUACACUCAUUAUGUCAACAAAAUCUAAAAAUUACAUUUUUUUUUUCAAUUUCACUUUCCCUUAUAAAACCUAAAAAUCUGUGAACCAAACGUACAUAGAAUAAAUUUAAUUUAUAUAUGGCAUCUAAUCUUUAACCAAAUGCCCUUAGCUUCUAAAUUAUUUUGAUUGGUCUUAACCUUUUAAAGUGAUUUUAUUUUGGCCCUUUUUCAGUUUUUCACAUUUCAUUAACAAUUGAGAAAAUAUCAAUGUGGCAUGAUUAGGGAGUAUCUAUGUAGCAUGCCAUGUAAGCUACAAUAUAUAUAUAUAUAUAGACAUUUUCAAAGUUUAUAAAAUCAUUAUUUAAAGAAAAAAAAAAGAAACCAUUUUAAAAGUUGAGAACUCAAAUGAAAAACUUGACGACUAAAAUGAAAUCAAAAUAAAAGCUAAAGAUCUUAAAUGAAAUUUACCCGUUUCUUUUUAAAUGAACUAAUUGUAACCAUCCAAAAAAAAAGCUUUACAUUUUCUAAAUCAAUUGUUGUUAAGCUAAUCGCAGCCAAGGAAACAUUUUAUUAGUAUCAAAUCAUCAAGCAUAUUAGAGCAAUUUUUUUUAUGAGAUUAGUUGUUGAUUAUCUCCUAACAUGUUCAUACUAUCAUAAUAUGCACCUAAUAAAUUUCGUGGUAACUCCCCAAGAGGUCAAAUUUAUGGAAAUAAAACACUUUUUAUAUAUACUACUAAAAUUUCCCUCGUUCCACUAGAAGAAGUGUCAUAUUUUUUAUUUUUAAAAGUCUAAAUCAAUAAACAUUUGAAUUUAGUAAAAUUUUAAAAAUUAUUUUAAAUUAAAAUUUUUUUACAAAUAUAAUAGUUAUUCUAUAAUUCUCUUUCCACUUCCCCUUCUCGUUCUCUUUUCUUUUAUAGGGUGUUUUUUUUUUCUCUCAUCAAAAGAUUCAAAAAUUUUUCACCUUAUUCUAAAAAUAUAAAUUGAUUGAACUAAUCGGAUGAAUAUUUAUUAAAAAAAAUUUAAAAAUAAAAUCUAAAAUAAAAACCAACACAUUGAAUCUAUAAAAAAAAUUUACAAAAAAAAACUAUUUUGUAGGUACAAAAGAUUCAAAACUAUAUUGAACCAACAAAUUAAAAUUUAUUUUAAAAAGUCUAGAAGGCUAAAGCCCAUUUAGCGAUGUAAUAAUAAAAACACCCCCACAACUCAAAAAUAUUCCAAUUACACUUUAUCAAUUAUGAGUAGGAAUAUAUUUACAAGAGGAAAGAUCUAUUUAUAUUAAAGUAAGAGUUAUAUAUAUUUUUUAUUUUUGAACUAAAAAAUCAGGUUAUUAUCAGAAAAAUGAGCUAUUUUGGGUCACCCCAAGAAAAUUUUUUUUUUUAUCAUAUAUGAGCAAUCAUAUUUAAAAUCAAUUGGGAUUUUUUUUUAUGAAAUUAGCUGUUGACUUUAUCAUAACAUGUUCAUACUAUCAUUGAUUUAGACGUUAAUUUAGCUUAAUUAUAGUCAUUAGUUUAGGAUUUAAUAUAGAGACAUUUUCAUGUACAAUAAAAAAUAAUAAAGGUUAUAUAAAACACUUUUGUCCCCGCAUACCAAGGAAUAUGUCUUUGUUCAUUAGCACAAAAAACAAAAGGAGUUACAUUUUCCUCAACUUGGAAAUAAUAAAGAAAUAAGUCUUUGUCUAUUAGUAUAAAAAAUAAUUGGAGAAUUGGUUGGCAUUGUUUAUUCGUACCAUUUCAAUUUGUUUUUUUCAUUUUUUGUAGCAGUAAGUUAGGACUUCUCUCUUCUUUUAGGGUAAAUUUCAUCUAUGGCAUCUAAUCUUGGAUUUAAUUUAACUUUGGUCCUUAACUUCUAAAUUGUUUCCCUUAGAUCUUAACCUUUUAAAGUGGUUUUAUUUUGAUCUCUUUUUUACAUUUUUCAUUAAUAAUUCAAAGAUUGAGCACUAAAAUAAAAUCAAAAUAAAAGGUUAGAGAACCUAAAUGGAAUUUACCGUUUCUUUUAAAUAAACGAAUUGUGCCAUCCCACAAAAGUUUACAUUUUUAAUUAUUUUUUUAUUCUGUUAAAGCUAAUCCUAAGCAAUGGAUUUUUUUUAUUGUUAUCAUAUCAUCAAGCAUAUUUAAAGCAAUUGGGAUUUCUUUAUGAAAUUAGUUGUUGAAUUUAUCAAAAUAUGUUCAUACUGUCAUUGAUUUAGAUGUUACUUCAGCUUGAUAAUAGAUAUUAAUUUUAGAAUUGAUACAGAGACAUUUUUAUGUAUGCUAAAAAAAUAUAUAUAUAAAGGAACAUAAAACACUUUCAUCUUUCUGAUUUUUUUUUUUCGUAUUUUGUAGAAAAAGUGAAAAUUUUUCCAUUUGUCGUUAUUUAAUUAUAUUUUUGAAUUAUACAGAAAAUGUUAUUAACUUUAGAUACAUAAUAAUUUUUUUAUAAAAUAUUAUGAAUUUUUUAAAUAAUUUUAAAUAAAAACAUUAUAUACAUAGUUUUUAAUAUAUUUUCAACAACGAUCAUGUUUUUACUAUUAAAAUUUUCAUCUUUGUUAAAAAAAUAUUAUGAAAAAAAAUUAUAUUUUACUUAUCUGUAUUUUACUUGUUGAUAUAUUAUGAAAAAAAUAUAAAUUUCAUAAUUUUAACAAAAAUUAUGUUUUUUAAGAUAAAAAAACAUCAUUUUUGUUAACAGACAUUACGUUUUUAUGUGAGAAACGAAUAGUCUUUUUUAUAUUUUAGGCACUAAAAUAAAAUCAAAAUCAAAAGUUAGAAACCCUAAAUAGAAUUUACCCUUUGUUUUAAAUAAACGAAUUGCAAUCAUCCCAUAAAAAUUUACAUUUUUCAAUUAAUAUAUAUUUUUUAAUUCUAUUAAAGCUAAUCCUAACCAAUGGAAUUUUUUUUUUUGUUAUCAUAUCAUCAAGCAUAUUUAAAGCAAUUGGGAUUUUUUUUUUUUUAUCAAAUUAGUUGUUGACCAUAUGGUAAUAUGUUCAUACUAUCAUAGUAUGUACACAACAAGGUGUAGUGGAUCCUUCUCUGAAGAGAAAAAAAAAAAAAAAAAAAAAAAGAAAAAGCCAUUACGGUGAGAUGAGCGAUGUGUGGAUUUAAGGAGUGACAAAAGCAUUAGCUUCUCCCUCCAUGGGUUUUCCUCUAUUCCACAUCGAGAAUUUAGCUGUUUUGUGUUUGAAUUAUAAACGGAUUUGCAAUAAUAAAUUCUUCUAAGUUUUGAUUAUUCUUUAUUUUAACAUCUUACCAGCGACCAAACCAUCCUUUAUUCACUCAUCUUCCAUGGAAACUCCCUUAUAACCGACUCUCUAAUUUUGUUUCUUUGUUCACUUCCGUACUCCUAACAAUUUUAAAUUACUUUGACUAUCCAAAAAUUUAAAAUUCCUACUGGGAACUCAAACCAUAUUAUUCUCCAGGAUUUAUAGGAAAAUAUGUAUAUCUCAAAUUCAAAUACUGAGUGAGAAGUGCUUGUUCUAGAUCUAAGUAUUGCUUGGUAAGAAUGAUAGAAAACAAUGAAAUGGAAAAUUUGUUAAUCCAAUAUUUAAAAUUUAUAACCCUUUUCUACUUUAUAACUUAACUAUUAGAUUAACAAAAUUUUUAUCAUUUUUACAUGUAAUAUCCACAAAAUUAGCAUAUGAUUUGAAUUAUAUUAUAUGAUUUAUGAUUUUAAAAAAAAUAUGUAUUCUUAAAAUUUUAUCUCCAACCCAUGUUUUACCAUAAUUAAAACUUGACUCAAUAGAAUUUUAAUUGACAAUAAAAUUAUUUUAUUAAAAUACCUUUUGUUAUAUAGUGGUUUUAUUUACUAUAUUUAUUUUUGUCAGAAAGAUAAAUUGGGGAUUUAACAGAAACUAACCCUUGAGAAGAAGAAAGAGAAAGAGAAAAGGUAAAUCAAUCCUAAAAUCAACUGAAUAAAGUAAGAUUUUACUCAAAACUCUUAAAAUUUUUAUAUUUUCUAUAAUUUUUUUAUAAAUCCUAACUUAUAUUUUAUACAUUUUUCAUCUUUAAAAAAAAUUUUGACAACUUUUUGGUGACAAUCUGACGAAAUUUUUGGUAUCAUUGGAAAGUUCUCUUUAAGACAUUUCAAUGAUAUGUGUGGCACUUCAUUUAAUUGAAUAAUUUGAGAGAAUUUAAUGUUCAAAGUUUUUUAUUUUUUAGUUUUGACAAUUACAAACACUCAACUUUGAAUUGUAAGAACUCCCUACUUUGGUGACUGAUUUGGUCAAAUUUUAGUUGUCUUUUAUAGUAAAAAAUGUGAACUUUGUAAUGAAAUAAUUGGUUUGUUCAAAUGAUAUUUAGGCUAAGAGAAUUAAAACCCCAAAGUAAGCUUCAUAAAUCUAAAACUCAAAAAAAAAGUUAAGCUAUUUAUGAUAAUUUAUUAAAUUUUUGCCUUCAAAACUUAGGUCUCUGGAAAUAAUUUUUGCCGAAACAAAAUUUUAAGUUAUAGUAUUACGUCCUCACUUUAAAUUCAUGGCUUUUUUUGUCAAUAGGAACUGAAGGAUAUUUGAGAUUUUGUGGUUUAAAGUAUGCAAAAUUCUUAUAGAAUGCUAAAAUUUCAGAAUUAAAAAAAUUUUGUUUUAAAUUAUUUUAAAAAAAUUUUUUAGUCAAUAUUGGAUUUAUUUAGUUAUAAAUUAAAUGAAUUUUAGUUAUGUUAUUUUUAAUGAAUUUUUUUUACUUAUUUUAAUAUAUUUUUACUGUAUUAAUUCAAAUUAUUAAUAUUAUUAAAGAACUAUUAAAUUAGAUUCAAAUUUAUAAAAAAUUAUUAUUAUUGAAUGUUAAAAAUUAAAUAUUUAUAAAAACAUUGUAUUACUACUGAUUUUUAUGCUUUAAUUCAUAAUUUCAUAUUUAUAUUCAAUUUUAGGCAUUUGUUAUAUUAAAAAAAAUUAUUUUAUGUGUUAAAAAAAUAUUUUUAAAUAGUUUUGAAUUGCCGAAAAGGUCGUCACAUAAUCCAAUUUGUUUAGGAUAACCCACGGGAGGUUUACUUUGUUAAAUUUUUAUAUUUUUUCUUAAAUUUUGAUUUUUAAAUAUUUAUAAAAUUAUUAUGAUACUAAAAAAAUUGAGUGAUUUGCUGCUUAAGUUUCAGUUUAACUCAAGUCUUCUAUUCUACUUUAACUUUCAUUCUUAAUUCCUAACUAGCUUCAUUUAAAUCCUUUGUCUUUUAAAGUUAUUUCAUUAUGGUAUUUUUUUUUCAUAUUUUUUUAUAAAUAAUUGAGAAAAUAUCCUUAUAGCAUGCUUAUUGAUGUGGAAUGUUUACAUGGCAUGCCAAGUAAGCAAUGACAAGUAUAGACGUUUGUCAAAAUUAACAAAAUUAUUUGAAGGAAAGACAAAAUAAUUUUAAUCAUUUUAAAAGUUAGAGGAUCCGAAUAGAAUAAUUUAAAGAUAAAUUGAAAUUAAAUUUUAAUUAAUUUAAAAUAAUAAUUUAUAUUAUUUAAUAAAAAAAUUUAUUUAUGAAAUAUAUAAAUAUAUAAGGUAUCGAUACAGAUAGUGCCAUAUUAUCCAUUCCUAUCCUCGUAUCUAAUAAAAAUUUAAAAUUAUAUCAAUCGUCAUAUCCAUAAUAUAAUAACUAUGUCUAUUUCUUUUCAUUAGGAUAAAAAAUAUAAUUCUUUAUUAAAUAUGAAUAAAAUUGAUAUCUUUAAUCCAACCCUCCAUAAACUUGAGGAUAGUGAGGGAAUAAAUGUAUGUCCUGAUAAGCACCAAUAGAUCUGUUAUAGUGGCUGAGUGAUCCUAUCAACACUUCACUACAAGAAAAUGACAAAUUAGUGGCAAUUUUGUAGCAGCGUUUCAUUAAAAUAUCGCUAGCUUUCGUGUUUUUAUAAAAUUUAAAGUGUUUUUUUAUUAAAAUGUCACUAAAUAUUCAAAUUGCGGAGUUUUAAUUAUAAACGCCACUAAAGACAAAAAUUAAUAGCAUUUAUCUACUAAAAUGCCUUCAAUAAUUCCUUUCAUAAAAAAUGGAUGGGGAAUUAUUAAAAGCAUUUUCUGUCAUAAAUGCCUUCAAUAAUUCCCUUAAAAAAUUGAAAAAGAUUAUUGAAAGCGUUUUUAUCCUUGUCAAUAAAUCUACCAAAAAUGGAAUACCAUUGUCAAUUAAAGCAUACGGUUGUUAACUAUAAGGUAGUAGAUUCGAUUCCUCUCUUCAACAUUUUUUUAGUUUUUCAAAGGAUUAUUCAAGGUAUUUUUUUGCCAGAAACACCUUUAAUAACUCCAUUCAAUUUUUUUAACAGAUUAUUCAUGGCAUUUUCUAGUCAAAAACGUCAUAAAAAAUGAAGGUGAUUAUUGAAGGCGUUUUCUGUCAGAAAUACCAUCAAUAAUUUCUCUAAAAAAUUGAAAAAGAUUAUUGAAGGUGUUUUUUUACCAAAAAUGCCUUUAAUAAAUAUCAUUGUCAAUAAAUCUACAAAAAAUGGAGUAGCAUUGUCAAUUAAAGCUUAUGGUUGUUAACUAUAAGGUCGUAGAUUCAAUUCCUUUCUUCAACAUUUUUUUUAUUUUUCAAAGGAUUAUUCAAGGUAUUUUUUGGUUAGAAACACCUUGAAUAACUCCAUUCAAUUAUGCUAACAGAUUAUUCAGGGUAUUUUUUAGUUAAAAAUGCCUUAUAGUUAACAAAUGCUGAAGGAAUGGAUCAAAACUACAAUUUUAUAAUUAACACCCGUAUGCUCCAACCAAUAACACUACUCCAUUUUUGACAAAUUUAUUGACAAGAAAAUCUAUUAAAGGCAUUUUUGACUAAAAAUGCCUUUAAUAAUUUGUUUUAAUUUUUUAGGAGAAUUAUUAAAUGCGAUUUUAGUAAAAAAUAUCUUCAAUAAUCAUCUUCAUUUUUUAUGAGAAGAUUAUUUAAAGCAUUUUCUACAAAAAAUUACCUUCAAUAAUAAAAAAUGAAAAAGAUUAUUCAAGGCAUUUUUUGCUAGAAAUGCCUUAAUAAUCUCUAAAAAAAUUGGAGAGGAUUAUUGAACGUGUUUUAGCCAAAAAUGCCUUAAAUAAUCUAAAAAAAAAUCAAAAAGGGAUUAUUUAAGGUGUUUUUGACCAAAAAUAUCUUGAAUAACCCCAUUCAAUUUUUUGUGAGGGAAUAUUCAAGGCAUUUUUGUCAAAGAAUACCUUGAAUAAUCUUAAAAAAAAAAAAGAUUAUUGAAUGCGUUUUUUUUUUCUUUUUUGCAGAAAAUGCUUUGAAUAAUCUUUAAAAAAAUAAAAGAGAUUAUUCUAGGCAUUUUGGCUAGAAAAGCCUCGAGUUACCCCAUUCAAUUUUUUAUAAGAGAUUAUUCAAGGUAUUUUUGGCCAAAAAUGCAUUGAAUAAUCUCCAAAAAAAUUGAAAGGAAUUAUUGAAAGCGUUUUUGGCCAAAAUGCUUUAAAUAAUAAAAAUAAUAGAAUAAGAUUAUUCAAGGUAUUUUUGAUCAAAAAUACCUUGAAUAACCAUAUUCAAUUUUUAUAAAAGAUUAUUCAAGAUAUUUUUUGGUAAAAAAUAACUUGAAUAAUCUUAAAAAAAAUAUUGAAGGAGAUUAUUAAAUGCGUUUUUGGCCAGAAAUACCUUGAAUAAUCCUAAAACAAAUUGCGAGGAAUUAUUGAAGGUGUUUUUAGCCAAAAAUAACUUCAAUAAUCAUACUUUCUAACUGUUAAAUUUUUUUAAAAUUUCAAACUUGUGAAACCCUCUUUUUGCUUUUCUUUCCUUUACUCAUUUAUUUUAUUUUUACUCAUUUUGGAUCACUUUUUCCUUAUUUUUUGCCUAAGUUUCAGUCAUUUUAUGGUCAAUUUUCAUUUUCUUUCAUUUUGUUUUUGCAAAUUUCAAGUUAACUUUCUUACAUUUUAAGUCAAAUCCCCAAACUCUUUAUCUAAUUUGUUGUGUCAAAUCCCUAAACUUCCUGUCUGAUUUGUUGCGUUGCUGUUGCCAUUCAAGUUUCAUUGGUAAGCUCAAUUUCAACAUUGAUAAUUUUUAGUAUUUGGCUUUUUUUUUUUUACUAAUUUAUUUUGUUAUUAUAGUUCUGAGUUUGAUUUUGUUUGGUUGGUGAGAAAAAUUCAAAAUAGAAUAAAAAUUGAAUGUUAAAUUUAGUUACAAAUACGAAUGAAAUUUUAGGUUUAGUUUUUCUUUUCAACAAAAUUUUUUUAAAUUACUAAAAAAUUGUUACUUGUUAACAUGAAUUUGUUGAUUCAUUCAAGAUAUCCUUAAAAAACCAUUAUGAAAUAGUCUAUUAUGUUUUUUUUUUUCAUCUCAUCUUAGCAUUUGUUUUGUUUGUUUUUUCAAAUCAUGGUGUUUGAUAAAAUGACUUAAUCUUACUUAAAAAGAUUCGCUGUACAUGAAAACCAUUAACAACAGAAAAUGGUAGUGAGCAUGGUGAAAAAAAUCUUUCAUCAAAUGGUAGUAUUCCAAAUCUAUGCAAUCAUCAAUUUCAUACAUUUUAAAUUUUUAGUUAAUGUACUAAAAUAAUUUGAAUGUUAUUACUUGUAUCAAACUUUGUGUUCCAUCCAUAUAAGAACAAAUUAUGUAUUUAUAAUAUUCAAUUUAUGAAUUUAAGUUCGUUUUUUUUUCUUUUAAUAUUUUUUAUUUAAUUAUAUUAAUCAAUAUUAAAAAAAUUUUUUAAAAUAAAUUUUUUAAUUUAGUGGCAUUUGUAUCUAAAAAUACCUUUAAAUGUCAAAAUGUAGUGACUUUUUCUAUUAUAAAUGCUGCUAAAUUUAGUGACAUUUUUUACUAUAAACGUUUCUAAAUUUAGUGGCAUUUUAUAAUUAAAAUGUCGCUAUUUUUUUCAACGCAAGAUAGGCAACACUCUUAGUGGCAUUUUUGAUAAAUGCCACUGAUUCUUUAGUGACAUUUAUAAAUGAGACUAAAUGUAAAAAAAAAAAAACCACUAAAAACUUAAUCUUUUGUAAUGGCUACACCCCCGAUUCUUUGUUUAAUGGUAUUAUGGAUUUAAGCAUAAGUUAUAGUACUAGAACUAGUUCUAUAGCUUUGCCUAAUGAGUUAUAGUAAUUAGUAUAGCCAUGAUCAUAUGGCCCUGCUAAUGGAUUAUAAUAGUUAGCGUAAGACCCUGGUUAAUAGGUUAUAAUAGUUAAUAAUGAUUCAUAAGGAUGAAAUUAUCGAUAUGUUAAUAUCACAAGUUAUAGUAGUGAUCAUAGCUAACAAUAAACUAAUGAUAAUGAUGGUUAUGAUAUGAUGAUUUCUAAAGAUUGAUUUAUGAUUUUAUAUGAAGAUGAUUUAUGAUGAUUUCUAAAGAUUGAUUAAUAAUUUGUUUGAUUAUGAUAUUUGAAUGACAAGAUAUUUUACAAUAAUUUAGAAAUUGACCUAUUUUGAUAUUAAUUUAUGAUCUACAAAAUAUUUGACAUUAUAAUGAUUUUUAAAAUAUUUUGACAUUAUGAUUUGACAAAUAUUUUAAAUAAUUUAUAUAGUAUGUAUGAAAAUGAUACUUGACCAGUACAAUGUGUGAGCUUAUACUUGUUAAGCUGUGGUUUGUUUUUUUUUUUUUUUAACUUUUUCUUUACAGUUGAGUAAGUGAUAAGUUUCCUUAGUCUUGUAAGAAGUUAAAGAUUAAAAUAAAAAAGAUUACAUAGUCGUUGAAGAUAAUGUUGGUCAAUAAGAUCUUAUGAAUCAGUUUUGUAUUUUUAUUGAUUUAUAUUUGAAUAUAUAAAGAUUUAUUAUCAAUUAUUAAAAAAUUUUAUAAUGAUUAAGAAAAAAAGUUUCGUAUUAUUUUAAAAUUUUACUUUAAAAUAAUAUAACUGUAUAAUAUCUUAAUCUCAUGACAUGACAAAAUCAAUAAACAUUUGAAUUUAGUAAAAUUUUAAAAAAUAUUUUAAAUUAAAAAAUUUUACAAAUAUAAUAUUUAUUGAAAAUUUUUCUUUCCCUUCUCUUUUCUUUUGUAGGUUGUUUUUUUUUCUCUCAUCAAAAGAUUCAAAAAAUUUUCACCUCAUUCUAAAAAUAUAAAUUCAUUGAACUAAUUGGAUGAAUAUUUAUUAAAAAAUAUUUAAAAAUAAAAUCUAAAAUUAAAAAACAACACAUUGAAUCCAGAAAAAAAAAUAAAAAACUAUUUUAUAGGUACAAAAGAUUCAAAACUAUAUUGAACCAAAAAAAUUAAUAUUUAUGUCCAAAAGUCUAGAAGGCUAAAGCCCGUUAAACGAUGUAAUAAUAAAAAUACCCACACAACUCAAAAGUAUUCCAAUUACACUUUAUCAAUUAUGAGUAGGAUUAUAUCUAUAAGAGGAAAGAUCUCCUUAUAUUAAAGUAAGAGUUAUAUAUAUAUAUAUUGAAUAAAAAAAAUCAGAUUAUUAUCAGAAAAAAUGGGCAAUUUUGGUCACGACAAGGAAUUUUUUUUAUUGUUAUCAUAUGUGAGCAAGCACAUUUAAAAUCAAUUGGGAUUUUUUUUUUUAUGAAGUUAGCUGUGGACUUGAUCAUAAAAUGUUCAUACUAUCAUUGAUUUAGAUGUUAAUUCAGCUUAAUUAUAGUCAUUAGUUUAGGAUUUAAUAUAGAGACAUUUUCAUGUACAAUAAAAAAUAAUAAAGGAAUAUAAAACACUUUUGUGCCUGCAUACCAAGGAAUAAAUCUUUCUUCAUUAGCAGAAAAAACAAAAGGAGUUACAUUUUCCUCAACUUGGAAAUAAUAAAGACACAAGUCUUUGUUUAUUAGUAUAAAAAAUAAUUGGAGACUUGAUUUGCUUGAUGUUCUAUUGGUCUAAAGCUGCCUGAAGGAAUUUGAGAGUUGCUACGUAGAUUUUUUUAUGUUCUUAUAUGUGACGAAGUCAUGAAGAUGAUUAUAAUACAGUCCAGAGAGAUGGGCUCAUUUAUAUAUUUUUUUCUCAUCUACUCAUUUAAUUAUAAUUAUAACUUUGAUUACUUGAUGUUCUUCGACUAUACAACCUCGAUGUUCAUCAGAGCAUUAGCCUAUAGAGGUUAUUGGGAAUCUUCUCUAAAAUGCCUCAAGCUGAUUUAAAUUAGUUCCUCAAUAAUCUUAGACGUAAAUUAGUCCACACAAUAAAAUAUAGUAGCAAAACUAUAAUGUUAAAUCAGGAUGAUCAAGUUAAACAUCAUACACAUUAAGUUCAUCCAAAAGACAAGCAUACAAUAAAUCAUUACCAAUACUGAUUUCCAAAGGCAGCAAUCAUCUAAGACAAACAAAUCACACCAAUACAGAUUUCCAAUGACAGCAAUCAGCUAACACAAACAAUAGGUUUUACUACAUUAUUACAAGUAUGAACAGGUAAAAGCCACAAACAAUCAUGUCUUCUUUGCUACGGACAACACAGCUUGUUUGAUUCACGUUUUUGUUGAUGUUCCUUAGAAGACUGAGAUCAUCCUUGCAUGAAAUUUCAAACACAAACUAGAUUUUUUAGCUUAAUUUAAAGUGAUUUCUUCAAAGCAAAGUUUGAGCAAAAAAAAAAAAAAAAAACAAAGCUGAGAAGAAAAGAGGUAAGAUUGUAAGCUGCAACAUAUAUAUAUAUAUAUAUAUAUGGACAUUUGUCAAAAUUAACUAAAUUAUUUAAAGGAAUGACAAAAAAGAAACCAUUUUAAAAAUUAAGAACUCAACUGAAAAUUUUCUAAGGUUGACAAUUAAAAUGAAAUCAAAAUAAAAAGUUAGAGAUCUUAAAUGAAAUUCACCCCUUUCUUUUUAAAUACAAAUUAAAUUGUUAAUAUUUAUUAUUAUUAAAAGUUAUCAAAUUUUACUUAUGUUAUAUCAAAAACAAAAUUAAAUUGUUAGUAUUUAUUAUUCUUAUAGUUAUAAAAAAAAUUGGUUAUUCAAAUAAAUUUUUAAAGAAUUAUACGUACAUGCAUCACGCUUGUACCAAAAAUAAUGUAUAUAAGAAGAAGAAGAAGAAGAAAUAACUUUUAUCACAUCACUAAUAUAAAACAUAAAUUAGUCCAUACAUUAAAAUAAUGCAUUGCAAGUUAAAGAUCUCACAAUAAAUCCAUACAAACAACAAUAACACAAGGACGGACCAAGGACAGCAAUACACACAAUAGGUUUUUACAGAGUUUUAAACAAUCACAUAAUACUGAUUUUUUUUUUUUUUUAAUAUACCAAGCACAAAAGAGGUAGAAGCCUAUCAUCUCUUCUUCUUCCCAAGGAUAACAGCUCCUCUGCUUCAGCCUUUUAUUUAUUUUCCCUAGAAAUAUAAAAGUCAAAGGUUAUACUUUGUACUAUCAAUUUAAAACACAAGAUAAAGUUAUAAUUAUACUAUCAAGUGAUUUGUUUAGAGAAAGUUUGAACAAAAGUAGUUUGGAGCGAGUAAUAGACAGAAAGAGUACCGGCAGCUAUAUGAACCGUAUUUGUAAGCUAGGAGGUGGGUUUAAGGCUUGAAUAAAGUCUUCCCCACAAGCACUCGGUCCACACCCUUUGCAGUCUAUAAUCAGACAGUUGAGAUGCAUCUUUUUGUGAAGCUUGGCUCUCUUAGCCUCUUCCACAUCUACCACAUUUCCCACCGGUUUUAUCCACAUAAAUCCACGAAAGAGGUCCAAGUUUUCCAGAUCUCCAACACUGAAUUCUUUGGCGUCACUGCCAUCUAAUCUCGCUUUGACAGGGUUUAAUUGUCUUAGAGAAGUUAAUCUCCCAAUCCCUUUCGGGUAGUAUUGUAGGCUCCAACAAGAAUUAGUAUGAAGAGACCUCAGGUUGAUCAAUUUCCCUAUACCUUCUGGUAGUUUCUCAAGACCAACACAAAAAAUGAGAUUCAAGUGUUGCAAAUUAUGCAAUUCACACACUAUUUCGGGCAAUUCUUUUAAAGUCUUACUGCCACUCAAAUUAAGGUAUCUCAAAUGAAUUAAUUUCCCUAUUUCAUUUGGAAUUUCUUUUACUGACACACCACCGGACAAAUCCUUCGAAAAAUCCAAUAAUCUGAGACAUUUCUCUCCCUUGAAGAAGGCUUGUAAGGCUUCACCAGUUACUCCACACUGUUGACCAACAGCUAAAAGGCUCCUUAGUUUCUCUAUGCCUUUUAUAGACCCAGGAAAUUGAUCCUCUUUUGCAAUGUUUACCCUCAAAUGAUGAGUCCUUUUGGAAGAUAAAUCCCGCCCCACAUUUUCACUGCUGACUGACACAAUUUCUUCAUUUGUCAAAUAUUGGACAAAAUCAUGUACCAUGUCGUGCAUCUUACAUUCAACUUUGUUACCAUGCCCAUCUUUAUCAAAAUCUUGGAAAAAAAGAACGAGAUGCUAAGUAGUUGAAGUAUUCAUCACCUUGUUCUUCUUCCAUCCCUAAAUUUUCUUUAGAAUUUAGAUAACCAUGUGCCAUCCAAUGUUUAAUUAAUUCAGUUGGCUCAAAAACAAAAUCUUUGGGAAAGAUUGCACAAUACAAUAAACAUGGUUUUAUUUGUGAGGGCAAAUCAUAAUAACUUAGCAAGAGAGGUCUAAAAAUGUAUUCUUGUGCAACAUUUAAUUUCCAUAUCUCACUAUUCAGUAUAAUUUGCCACUCAUUCCUAGUAUUUUUCUCCCGCAACAAACCUCCCAAAGUCUUAGCAGCAAGUGGUAAACCUUUACACUUCUUUGCUAUUUCCCUUCCAAUAUCCUCCAACUU